CUUGUACCCCUGGGCAGCUGGAAACCCGGGGCUGGUCUCUCUCUCAUGAUCCGAUGUGCAAAGCAACACGGUCCCGGAGGGCCUUGCUCCUCCAGAAGCUCAGACAUAUAAAUUCUGUCAAGCCGAUGUCGGGCAUCCAGGGGCGACACUUGCCUGUUCCCAACUUAGGCUCCAAGCGGACCAAGAUUAUCACGCUCUCGCCUGAUAUAACCCUCGUCGCCCAUGGCCGAAUAUCUGUUGUCGUAAUGGUCGUACCGGCGAUCUUCACCUUGAUAAGGGGGUUACGCCCGACACCCUGCUGACCUGCGGCAGUAUUGGGUGCCGGACCCCGAGGUCGGUGUCCAUGAUCAAAUGAGUAGCGUUCUUGCUGGUCACGGCGAUUGUCGCCGGGACAUAGACCACUCUGGCUGUCAUCAACCCUUCUGACUAUCUGUUUCUCGACCAUGGCUGGGUCAUAACGCUCCAGCUGCUUAUCCCGGCCUGAAUUGACACUUUUGUCUCGCUUGCCACAGGCGAAGACGCUUGCUUCUCAACUCGGCCUCCGACAUCCGCUGCCGAGUGGAUAACCUGAGAUGCACCGGGCUUGCCGUGCAUUCUCAUGUAUGCCUCAUUCUGCUCAUUAGCUGUGCGGAGCAGCUCUUUCAUGCGCAGCAGCUGCUGUCGGAGUGCCUCUCCUAUAAGAUUUGGUAGCUCUUCGGCCGCAGCUUCAGCAGCUCUGAGAUUCUUGACAGGGGUAUUGUAUUUCGGCUUUAGCGCCGAGGCGUAACUUGCCGAUACUGCUGGCACACCCCUGCCAUCUCUUGUCAUCUCGGCAUUCAAGUUAGCUACAAGAUCUAGUGCACUGGAACUCGUGGUUAUGCACCCGAAUCUUUUAGUAUGGAACAUUGUCUUUUCUAAGUAAAAACCCCUAGUAUCUGAAAGAAUGAAAAGGUGCUUUCGUUCUUGUGGAUUAAGAAGCCCUCGUACCUUAAUGAAAGGAAAAUCGUAAUUUUUCGUUAGGUAUUUGACCAAAUACGAUCGUCUAGUUCUUAUAGAACCUAUCACUAAAAUACCCGAUAGGGCUAAGCGGAACGAAAAGGGUUUUCCAUGAGAUGGUAAAUGAAAACGAUUAGCCCCACACGAGGUUUGGGAAUAAGUGAUUGUCUGAUAAUGAGCAAGGAAUAUACGUCUUUCUGCUAAAGAGGAUCUAUUAAACUCAUAAUUCAUUAGAUCCUUGUUAUCAAUGCCAACUAGGUAUCAUAAGUAAAUGGAUCUCGGUUGUUCAAUCCUUUGAUAACCAAGGUCAUUCUUUGCUAAAGAGAAAUGAUCACUAUGAGUCAGACUCAAUAGAAUUGGAUCCAUUCCAAAUAGAGAGAAUUAGGAUUCUUGAUCCCUCUCAAUCUCUCUUUCAAUUCGAGGAUCCAGAGAGGUGUUUUCAUAGUCAUCUCCGAAUAUUUGCCAUCUCCGAAUAUUUUCGAUUUCAUUUUUCUAUGAUAUGUCUUUCUAUAUGAAAAUUGGUUAUUUACGAUGUAGGAUGAUCCCUGUUAAGCAUCCAUGGCUGAAUGGUUAAAGCGCCCAACUCAUAAUUGGUAAAUUUGCGGGUUCAAUUCCUGCUGGAUGCACGCGAACGGGAACGUUCCAUAAGUCUAUUGGAACUGGCUCUCUAUCCAUGGAAUCUCAUCCAUCAUCCAUACAUAACGAAUUGGUAUGGUAUAUUCAUACCAUAACAUAAGAACAAUAAGAACUCGAAUUCUUAUCGAUACUGGGACUCAGAGCAUAGGAGGGAAAGUCGAUUUAUGGAUGGAAUCAAAUACACAGUAUUUACAGAAAAAAGUCUUCGUUUAUUGGGAAAGAAUCAAUAUACUUUUAAUGUUGAAUCAGGAUUCACUAAGACAGAAAUAAAGCAUUGUGUCGAACUCUUCUUUGGUGUUAAGGUAGUAGCUGUGAAUAGCCAUCGACUACCCGGAAAGGGUAGAAGAAUAGGACCUAUUCUGGGACAUACAAUGCAUUACAGACGUAUGAUCAUUACCCUUCAACCGGGUUAUUCUAUUCCACUUCUAGAUAGAGAAAAAAACUAAAGGAGAAUACUUAAUAAUACGGCGAAACAUUUAUAUAAAACACCUAUCUCGAGUACACGCAAGGGAACCGUAGACAGGCAAGUGAAAUCCAAUCCACGAAAUAAUUUGAUCCAUGGACGGCACCGUUGUGGUAAAGGUCGUAAUUCCAGAGGAAUCAUUACCGCAAGGCAUAGAGGGGGAGGUCAUAAAUGCCUAUACCGUAAAAUCGAUUUUCGACGGAAUCAAAAAGACAUAUCUGGUAGAAUCGUAACCAUAGAAUACGACCCUAAUCGAAAUGCAUACAUUUGUCUCAUACACUAUGGGGAUGGUGAGAAGAGAUAUAUUUUACAUCCCAGAGGGGCUAUAAUUGGAGAUACUAUUGUUUCUGGUACAAAAGUUCUUAUAACAAUGGGAAAUGCCCUACCUUUGAGUGCGGUUUGAACUAUUGAUUUACGUAAUUGGAAGUAACCAAUUAGGUUUACGACGAAACCUAGAAAUCGAUCACUGAUCCAAUUUGACUAUCUCUACGGGAUAGACCUUAACAGAAAACUGUUGAGUAACGGCAGCAAGUGAUUGAGUUCAGUAGUUCCUCAUAGAAAAUUAUUGACUCUAGAGAUAUGGUAAUAUGGAGAAGACAAAAUUGUUUGAAGCACGCACAAAACCGGAAGCGCCCCUUGUUUCAAAGAGAGUAGGACGGGUUAUUCACAUUUAAUUUGAUGGUCAGAGGCGAAUUGAAAGCUAAGCAGUGGUAAUUAAGACCCCCGGGGAAAAAAGGGAUGUCUCCUACGUUACCCAUAAUAUGUGGAAGUAUCAACGUAAUUUCAUAGAGUCAUUCGAUCUGAAUGCUACAUGAAGAACAUAAGCCAGAUGACGGAACGCGGAGACCUAGGAUGUGGAAGAUCCUAACAUGAGCGAUUCGGCAGAUUUGGAUUCCUUUCCUAUAUAUCCACUCAUGUGGUACUUCAUCAUAUGAUUUAUAUAAGAUCCAUCUGUCUAGAGAUCGUCAUAUACAUCUAGAAAGCCGUAUGCUUUGGAAGAAGCUUGUACAGUUUGGGAAGGGGUUUUUUGAGAGAAAAGAAGAAUCUACUUCAACCGAUAUGCCCUUAGGCACGGCCAUGCAUAACAUAGAAAUCACACGUGGAAGGGGUGGCCAAUUAGCUAGAGCAGCAGGUGCUGUAGCGAAACUUAUUGCAAAAGAGGGUAAAUCAGCCACUUUAAGAUUACCAUUUGGGGAGGUCCGUUUAGUAUCCCAAAACUGCUUAGCAACAGUCGGACAAGUGGGUAAUGUUGGGGUGAACCAAAAAAGUUUGGGUAGAGCCGGAUCUAAGUGUUGGCUAGGUAAACGCCCCAUAGUAAGAGGGGUAGUUAUGAACCCCCAUGGGGGCGGUGAAGGGAAAGCCCCCAUUGGUAGAAAAAAACCCACAACCCCUUGGGGUUAUCCUGCGCUUGGAAGAAGAACUAGGAAAAGGAAACGUAGGGCUUUGAAACCAAAUACGUUACCUACAAUGGAAGUAAACAUGUUAGUAACGGAACCCUCUUCAAAUAGAUCUAAUGGAUAAGCUACAUAACAGAUCCAUUGACUGUCUUCCCCAGGAACAGGCUCGAUGUCAUAGCAUCGUCCUUUGUAACAAUCAAGACUAGUAAGUCCAUCAGUCCAAACAGUUGUCCAUGUACCAAUAGAAGAUUCGGCAGCUACUGCAGCCCCUACUUCUUCGGGCGGAACCCCAGGUUGAGGAGAUACUCGGAAUGCUACCAAGAUAUCAGUAUCCUUGGUUUCAUACUCCGGGGUGUAGUAAGUCAAUCUAUAAUCUUUAACACCAGCUUUAAAUCCAACACUUGCUUUAGUUUCUGUUUGUGGUGACAUAAGUCCCUCCUUACAACUCUUGAAUUAAGAAUUCUCACAAUAACAAGUUCUACUCGAUGUGAAUUAGGCGUAAAUGAAACUUUAGCAAAAAUCUCAUAAAAAAAAGAGAUAUUCAAUUAAUAGCAACUCAUUACAGAAAAUUGAGGGCAUGCUUAAGUUAAUUAAUAUUUUUCAUUCAUAUAUAAUGCGUACACCCUGUGUAUGUUCUAUCCUAUAGGAAUUUCACUAUAGGAAUUCGAUAGGAAUUGAGUUGUUGUUAUGGUAAGUUAACACCGUUCGUUAUUAAACCAAGGAUUUGAUUUAACAAAUCCAUCAUUAUUGUAUACUCUUUGAUAGAUAUAGCGCAACCCAAAUCAAUCCUUAACCUUUUUUUUUACAAAUUAUUAAAGGGCCCCUUUCUUAUUUUGAAAAGAAAUACCUAACUAAAUACUAAGAAAUUUUUUUGUUGACAGCAAUCUAUGCUUCACAGUAGUAUAUAUUUUGUAUAGCGAAGUCCUAGAUAGGAAAGUAGAGUAGGCACGGAUCCUCCACAAAAGGAAAAAUCUAUCUUAUGAAAAAAAGAUUGAUUGAACUUUCCAACGGCCUCAUUCCAUGAGUAAAGGGUUGAAAGGGAUUCGCUUGGGCAACGAAAUCAAGUCCUGUUCCCCUUUUUUCUCUUAUUGAAUUAACUAAUUGAUUUCCUUUUUACUUUUGGAUUUUUGGAUAUUUUUUUGGAUUUGGUAUUAUUCAACAAGAAAAAAUUAAAUUUUUUGACAAAAUCCUUUUCUUUUAUUAUGUGAUAAUUAUGAGAACCAAUCCUACUACUUCUCGUCCCGGGGUUUCCCCAAUUGAAGAAAAAAGUACAGGCCGUAUCGAUCAAAUUAUUGGACCCGUGCUGGACGUCACUUUUCCCCCCAGUAAGUUACCUUAUAUUUAUAACGCUUUGGUAGUCCAGAGUAGAGACACUGCCGAUAAGCAAAUUAAUGUGACUUGUGAGGUACAACAAUUAUUAGGAAAUAAUCGAGUUAGAGCUGUAGCUAUAAGUGCUACAGAUGGGUUGAUGAGAGGAAUGGAAGUGAUUGACACAGGAGCUCCUCUCAGUGUUCCGGUCGGCGGAGCUACUCUCGGGCGAAUUUUCAACGUUCUUGGGGAGCCUGUUGACAAUUUGGGUCCUGUAGAUAGUAGUGCAACGUUCCCUAUUCAUAGAUCUGCGCCUGCCUUUAUCGAGUUAGAUACGAAAUUAUCCAUCUUUGAAACAGGUAUUAAGGUCGUCGAUCUUUUAGCUCCUUAUCGACGUGGAGGAAAAAUAGGACUAUUUGGGGGGGGCUGGGGUAGGUAAAACAGUACUCAUCAUGGAAUUAAUCAACAACAUUGCUAAAGCUCAUGGGGGCGUAUCCGUAUUUGGUGGAGUAGGGGAACGGACUCGUGAAGGAAAUGAUCUUUAUAUGGAAAUGAGGGAAUCCGGAGUAAUUAAUGAAAAAAAUAUUGAGGAAUCAAAGGUAGCUCUAGUCUAUGGCCAAAUGAAUGAACCACCGGGAGCUCAUAUGAGAGUUGGUUUAACUGCCCUAACUAUGGCGGAAUAUUUCCGAGAUGUUAAUAAGCAAGACGUGCUUUUAUUCAUCGAUAAUAUCUUUCGUUUUGUUCAAGCAGGAUUGGAGGUAUCCGCUUUAUUAGGGAGAAUGCCCUCCGCGGUGGGUUAUCAACCUACUCUUAGUACAGAAAUGGGUUCUUUGCAAGAAAGAAUUGCUUCUACUAAAAAGGGAUCUAUAACUUCGAUCCAAGCGGUUUAUGUACCUGCGGACGAUUUGACUGACCCUGCUCUUGCCACAACAUUUGCCCAUUUGGAUGCUACUACCGUACUUUCCAGAGGAUUAGCUUCCAAGGGUAUUUAUCCAGCAGUAGAUCCUUUAGAUUCAACCUCAACUAUGUUACAGCCUCGGAUCGUUGGCAACGAACAUUAUGAAACUGCGCAAAGAGUUAAGGAAACUUUACAACGUUACAAGGAACUUCAGGACAUUAUCGCAAUUCUUGGAUUGGAUGAAUUAUCGGAGGAGGAUCGUUUAACUAUAGCAAGAGCGCGAAAAAUUGAGCGUUUCUUAUCACAACCGUUCUUUGUAGCAGAAGUUUUUACUGGUUCUGCAGGAAAGUAUGUUGGUCUUGCAGAAACAAUUAGGGGAUUUCAACUAAUCCUUUCGGAGAAUUAGAUGGCCUACCCGAGCAGGCUUUUUAUUUGGUGGGUAACAUCGAUGAAGCUAGCACGAAAGCUAUAACCUUAGAAGAGGAGAACAAAUCGAAGAAAUGAAAUUAAAUCUUUAUGUACUGACUCCUAAGCGAAUUAUUUGGGAUUGUGAAGUGAAAGAAAUCAUUUUAUCCACUAAUAGUGGUCAAAUUGGGGUAUUACUAAACCAUGCCCCCAUUAAUAUAGCAGUAGAUAUGGGUCCUUUGAGAAUACGCCUCCUCAACGACCAAUGGUUAACGGCGGUUCUGUGGAGCGGUUUUGCGAAGUUAAUAAUGAGAUCAUUAUUUUAGGAAAUGAUGCGGAACUGGGUAGUGAUAUUGAUCCGGAAGAAGCUCAACAGGCACUUAAAAUAGCCGAAGAUAACUUGAGUAAAGCUGAGGGUACGAAAGAAUUGGUUGAAGCGAAACUAGCUCUCAGACGAGCUAGGAUACGAAUCGAGGCUGUCAAUUGGAUUCCCCCAUCCAAUUGAAGACAAUCCAAUGGUUUAUAGUUGAUACAAAGAUAAAGGGAAGAGGGGUAGAAAAAGUUAUUAGAUAGCGAAGCGAAAUAAGCCCAAUGCUAUCUAGUAAUUUUUCUACCUACCUACCUACUAUUGGAUUUGAACCAAUGACUCCCGCCGUAUGCAAUACUCUAACCACUGAGUUAAGUAGGCAAUUUAUGAUCACAAAGGAAGACCCAUUACUUCGAUCGAUUAUAUAUCGAAUCCCUUUUCUAAGCAAUAACGCUUCCUUAUUGGUAUGUUAUAUACUAAACAGAUACAUAUUUAAAGAGAUACCCUCUGGCAUUAGAGAAUAUUCAUCUUGACAAUAAAUUAUCUAUAUGUUAAGAUAUCUCUGAUAAGGGCUAUAGCUCAGUUCGGUAGAGCAACUCGUUUACACGUGCGCCAAUGCUUUUCAAAGGAGCUUAUUAUGCAAUGAAUAUAAUGGAUCUUAUUGCAAAAUCAAUGUCUUACUUCAUAGAUUCGACAGAAUAGGAGAACAGUAGCCUGACAAAGAGUCAGUUCAGUCCGAUUCAGGUCCCCAUUCUGGUGCCUAAUCAAAUCGAACCCUUAUGGAUUUGCUAGUUGAUAAGGUAAAUAUCCAGCCCACUAAAUGCUAGGCAUAAUGAGGAUAAGGGCCUCCAAAAAACUUCCUUUCGUUCUAUGAACUUUAAGGUGUAUGAAGUCUCAUAGUUAACUCUUGCAGUGGAACGAUAGAGACUCCAUUUCACUUAGGUUGAUUUAAUUUAGGCCGGAGGCAGACCUAAGUCAAGGUAAUCCUCCUUUGAAACACUUUGGUAUUGCUCCUAGAUAGACCAUAAUACAAAUAAUCAAUCAGAGCACAGGGAGCCAUCUCAUUAUCUUUCCGUAAAGAAAAACUAUGGUGGACUAACUGAUCUUUAAAUCAGUUGAUGAAAGAGCCCAAUGCAAAAAAAUGCAUGUUGGGUCUUUGAAAUAGUUCGAAUCAUUUCGAUAAUAAUCUGUUUGAUCUGUUUUACCGAGAAGGUCUACGGUUCGAAUCCGUAUAGCCCUAAUAUGUCCUAUUUUUGGAUUUUAGUAUAGAUAUCCUAUGUUUUCCUUAGUAUAGCUUUUAUUUUCACAUUAGUACUUGUUUAUAGACUGGGCGGGCGCCUGCGACAUAGAAUAGGCGUAAAAGCAUUACCACAGGCUCAUUCAUCAAAAAUCAUAGAGAUAGGAAACGAAAAAGUGAUUUCUAUCAAAUCAAUAGAAGAAAAGAGCCCUUCCCUGAUUUGAAUCCCGCCCUUCUUCAAAUAGGGUAUCUCUAGACUUCCCUAUAAAAACUGCAAUGAUUUUCUCCAUCUUGCGAAUUUAUACUUUGUUUUAAGUAUAUUACUUUGCUUAUAUAUACAUUAUCUAAAUAGAUCUACUUAAAAUCCUAAAUAGAAAAAAAUAUAGAAAGAAUUAAAGUAAAGAGUAAAUAAGAAAACAGAAUAUUAUGUCUCAUAGUUCUGAAAUAGAGUUCCUUAUUUUUUUAUAGUAUUACUUCUCAGUCUACUGCAUAGACUAGUCCUCUUAUGUUAAUUAGGUUCUAAAGAUUAUAGAGAAAGCAAAAUAAAGUGAAGGGAUAAAGUAUUUUUUAUAUAAGAAUUAGAUCUAUACCAUAUCUAAAUAGAAUGGAAAAAAAAGAAGGGGAGUUGGGAUUCCAUUGGAUGAAUCUUUAAAGAAGACACAGCACAGAGAAAACAAAGGCUAAACUAAGCGAUUUUGUUUGAACAAAACAGAUUCUUGUUUCACCGAGGAAAAGAGAUAAGUUCUGGAUGAAUUGACAAUGCAUAAUUGAAUUGAUUAAUUUAAGUCUCGUCUAUUCUACAUUAAUGGGAGUACAUUAUGUUUCUGCUUCACGAAUAUGAUAUUUUUUGGACAUUUCUAAUAAUAGCAAGCCUUAUUCCGAUUUUGGCAUUUUGGAUUUCAGGGCUUUUAGCCCCGAUUAGUGAAGGACCCGAAAAGCUUUCUAGUUAUGAAUCGGGUAUAGAACCCAUGGGAGGGGCUUGGCUACAAUUCCGAAUACGCUAUUACAUGUUUGCGCUAGUUUUUGUUAUUUUUGAUGUGGAAACCGUCUUUCUCUACCCUUGGGCAAUGAGUUUCGACGUAUUGGGUGUAUCCGUUUUUAUCGAAGCUUUCAUUUUCGUGCUUAUCCUAGUUGUUGGUUUAGUUUAUGCAUGGCGAAAAGGAGCCUUGGAAUGGUCUUAACUGAAUAUUUAGAAGAAAAAAAAGAAGAAAAAGAUUCCAUUGAGACAGUUAUGAGUUUGAUUGAGUUUCCUUUACUUGACCAAACAAGUUCCAAUUCUGUUAUUUCAACUACACCAAACGAUCUUUCAAAUUGGUCAAGACUCUCCAGUUUAUGGCCCCUUCUAUACGGUAGCAGUUGUUGUUUCAUUGAAUUUGCUUCAUUAAUAGGCUCGCGAUUCGACUUUGAUCGUUAUGGAUUGGUACCAAGAUCAAGUCCUAGGCAAGCGGACCUAAUUUUAACAGCUGGUACAGUAACAAUGAAAAUGGCUCCUUCUUUAGUGAGGUUAUACGAGCAAAUGCCUGAACCAAAAUAUGUCAUUGCUAUGGGAGCUUGUACUAUUACAGGGGGAAUGUUCAGUACGGAUUCCUAUAGUACUGUUCGAGGAGUUGAUAAGUUAAUUCCUGUGGAUGUCUACUUGCCGGGUUGCCCACCUAAAUCGGAGGCGGUUAUAGAUGCCCUAACAAAACUUCGUAAGAAGAUAUCGCGAGAAAUAGUUGAGGAUCGAAUUCGAUCUCAAAAUAAAAACCGAUGUUUUACUACCAGUCACAAGCUUUAUGUUCGGCGCAGUACUCAUACUGGAACUUACGAGCAAGAAUUGCUCUAUCAAUCACCAUCUACUUUAGAUAUAUCUUCUGAAAAUUUUUACAAAUCCAAAAGUAUAGUACCUUCCUACAAAUUAGUGAAUUAGGAGGGGGGUUCUUUUGUCUAGAAAAAUAAAAAGCAAGGCAAUCUUUGAAACUUGCAUCCGAAAUGUGAAAUAUUUAUACAAAACAAAGAGGGAGAGAUCAAGACAAUGCAGCAGGGUUGGUUAUCUAAUUGGCUAGUCAAACAUAAGGUGGUUCAUAGAUCUUUGGGCUUUGAUCACCGAGGAAUAGAGACUUUACAAAUAAAAGCGGGGGAUUGGGAUUCCAUUGCUGUCAUUUUAUACGUAUAUGGUUACAAUUAUUUACGCUCCCAAUGUGCUUAUGAUGUAGCACCCGGUGGAUCUUUAGCUAGCGUGUAUCAUCUUACGAGAAUACAGUAUGGCAUAGAUAACCCAGAAGAAGUAUGCAUAAAAGUCUUUGCCCAAAAGGAUAAUCCUAGAAUUCCGUCUGUCUUCCGGAUUUGGAGAAGUGCCGAUUUUCAAGAACGCGAAUCUUAUGAUAUGGUGGGAAUCUCUUAUUUCCACGGUUACGCACCUCCCCAACUCGGCUAGGGUUAGUAAACGACGUAGAACUAAGACCAUGGGCUUUGUUAUACUCACGGAGUGAAAUAUCCAGUUGUUGCCGAGUGUGAGCGACGUCAACAGCUUCCUUCAGCAGCUUUUGUCGCUCCAACUCCAACUCUGCCUGCAACUGGGUCGGGUUAGCGUUCGACGCCACCGGCGUAGUCAGCCGUUCGAUGGAGGCUUGGAGCUGGGUCAGCUUCGGCGGCAGGGCCGACGUGCCGGCUUGAGCGGUGAUGUUCUUCGGCUUCUCCAAGGGGAGUUUCCCCGUUCUGCCGGAUUUGGUUGGGGCCGUGCCACUUCCUGCAGCGUCCCUUCCAGAAUUAGCACCAUGAGUCGUCACCAUGACCUCCACACGGUCAGCGGGACAGUUGACAUGCCGGCCGCGAACCGUGCGGACGGCGGGGGGGUCUUCGAUGACCAACCCCCUGCUCUGGGUACUUGCAAGGGCUUUUAGUAUCAACAUAAACCUCGUGCAUGCCGAAGUUGAUGAAGCGGCCCACGCAGGGAAGCGGUGUGUCGUUGAAGCAGCCCGCGUUGUUCUCGAUGAAGCCCAGAGAGCCGAAUCUCUGGACCAAACCGGAGACCACGCGCUCUCCGGUGACGAGGAAGCUUCCCGUCCGGAGGAAGACUCCAGCCAGCGCCGCUACAGGCCCCACGGUGGGCGCCAACUAUCGUGGUGGUGACACGGCAGAUGCCAUAGGAUGGGUUAACUUGGGGCCGAUGGACGAUGGAGGAUCCGGAGGAGGGAGAAUGUGAAGGGAAACACGCACAAAUCACACAAGCACACACAGAUCUACCCAGGUUCGGAGCCCUCUUGCCGAGGUAAGACUCUUACUCCUGCUUUCUUGUAUUAGCCGGGGUAGACAAGCUAUACAAUGGCACUCCUUGAGCUGUAUUCUUGAGGAAGAAGAAGAAGGGGAAAAAUCCUAGAUGUCUAAGUGCUCCGUCCCUCUCUACAGAGGGGUAACGUUCUAUUUAUAGGCCGCCCAUGUGGUUCCUGUGACGGUGUGUCAUUUGCUUUUGGGACGUCCGUGGCAAUCAGAUCGAGAUGUUCGUCAUCAUGGGCGAGCUAAUACUUAUAGUCUCCAUUGGCAUGGCAAGGAGGUGAUCUUAUGUCCUAUGACACCACAACAGAUUGUUAAUGAAUCUCAUCAAAAAGUUGAAGUAAAUCGUGAGAAUGAGCGUGAGAGAUUAGAUAGGCGAGGGACUCCACAUUCGGUGAGUGAGUACCAAAAGCCAAAUUUGAGUGGUAAACAGAACAGUGAGGGAGAGAAUUCCUUAGUAAUGCUAGCCACCAAAUCAGAUUUGAGAGAGUUCCGCGAGGAUCCUACCCAGGUUCGGAGCCCUCUUGCCGAGGUAAGACUCCUACUCCUGCUUUCUUGUAUUAGCCAGGAUAGACAAGCUAUACAAUGGCGCUCCUUGAGCUGUAAGAAAAAGAAGAAGGGGAAAAAUCCUAGAUGUCUAAGUGCUCCGUUGUAAGACCCCGGGACCAGAAUUAUAAAAUUUAGCCCAACAUUACUAACCUUUGCAUAAUUCAAGAGUCAGGUUCUUAACCUACGAUAAACACUUCAAUACAUACACGCAUUAAUGUGCUCAUCGCAGGAUUUUGCAACAUGAAUAUCAUGACCAAAACUCUACAGAAGAGAGUAAUUACAAAGCUCAUACAAGGAGCAGAAUAACAAAUAUUAUAAAGAGAGGACACAUGUCCCAACAUUACAUCAUUACAUCAGCGGAAGUCGAAUUAUGCCCGAGUACGGACAAGAAUACAACAUGACCUGAAGAGGCUGGAAGCUGGAAGGAAACCCGCCACGAGUCUCAGAACCCUGAUCUGGAUCUCCUGGCUAAACAUCGAAUCCAACGUCGUGCUCCACGAAGAAGCUAGCGGCUCACCUGCUCUACUGAAACCUGUGAAGAAAACAAUGUUGCAAAGCAACUGAGUACAAAGUAUUCGCAAGACUUACGGGGAGAUCUAUGCUAGUAUGCAACAUGUCUCAAAGGAGGGUAAAGUGGGGUUAUGCAGCAGCAACAAUAUCUAGAGAGACACUCUAUUAACAACGUCUAAGUAGAGGAUGAGAAGCGUCUACUAAGUGAGGUGAUUGACCUGUUUACUAAACACCAAACCACACAAUCCUUAUAUCACCCCCUCAACAUUAAUUGUUUUGGACCUUUCUUUGAUGGAAAUAAUGAUGCUGAAGCUUAUAUUGAUUGGGAAAUAGCUCUAAUUGAGCAAUUCACAUGCUUCCAUGUACUAGAUAGUCGUAAGGUCCAAAUUGCUAGUAGUAGAUUUCGUUUUGAUGCAUUAUCAUGGUGGAGUGAGAUAGUUAGAGAAAACAAAAUACCUCACACUUGGAUUGAUACGAAGAAAAUCAUGAGAGAAAAAUAUGUUCCUCCAAGUUAUGCUUAUGAGUUGCGUUCCAAAUUACGACGUUUGACACAAGAUGAUAAAACUGUUGAUGAUUACUACCAUGAGUUCCAAAUUUUAACCUUGCGAUCUGGUUUAGAUGAAACCGAACAAAGAAAAAUGGAUAGGUUUUAUUCUGGGCUUAAUUUUGAAAUUUCUUACGUGAUUGAAUAUGGGGAUUACGACUCUCUAUUGUGUUUGCUUAAUCUUGCUCGUGAAGCUGAGAGAAAGUUAGAAAGAAGGUAUAAUACAAAUGAGGCGAGCCCACAAGGUAAUGUUACAGAGGUUUGUGUUGCUGAACUAAAUAUGACGUGUAUUGAAAUAAAUGAGAUAUUUGAUGAACAUGCUGCCCCUUGUAAAAUUGUUGAUUUACUUGCCGAUUUGAGCGCACCCAUUGAUUCAAUUGAUAAUGAUUUAUGUGAUGAGUUAUCUGCUGUUUUGGAACAGACUUGUGACGGGAUGAUUAAAUUUGAUUUAUGUUGCAUUGAAUUAAUUAAACAUGAAGAAGUGUUUCUUAUGGUUCCGCCUAAUAAUUCUCUGUGUUCUAUUAAACUUGAUGCACCUAUAUAUUUGUCACAUGCAAUGGAUAAAGGUUCCGAGUUAACAAUUUCAAAAUCUUUUGCUAAUGCCCAUGGAUACACUAUUCAAUUAAUUGGAGAACAUGACGUGAACAAUAAAUUUUGGGUGCAUCAGAUUUGCAUUGCUUGUGAUAACUUUCUUGAUUUGAGAGAAAAUAAUAUGUUGCAUAUGCUUAACCAUUUUGAUAUGACCUCCAAUAUUGGUGUUGAUUAUUUGCCAAUUAGUUCUUUACACGAUUGUUCGAAUAUUAGUGCUUUGACAUGCUCUAAAUUUCAGCAUCUUGUAGUAACUAAUUUGGGUAACAUUAUUAAUUAUUAUUCUCCAGUGUUGGGAUGGUAUAAUGGUGAGCGGUGCAAACCAAAUACAAGAUGUUGUUUCACUUAUAUAUGCAAAACAUAUUGUCAAUCUUCUUGCUGGAAUGAUAUUCAUGAUGAUUGUGUGACUAAUUAUCUCAUGAGAUUGUGUUAUAAAACAUUAAUUGUGCAACAUGGGAGUGGAGUUAAAAAUAACGAUAUAUACAUAUACCAUGCGCAUACCUUGUCCCUUUUGUUUGCAUAUUUUCAGCAUAAACGACGCCGAGGACGGCUUUCCUUUCAAGAAAGGGAGGAUGAUAUGGACAUGCUAACCAUGGAUACGACCAUUAGAACCCUAAUUGUUGGUGUCUCUAAUAAUUAUAAUCAGGUGAAUUCAAUUACAAAAUGUUUUCAAUAUGUUACUUGCAAAGAGGCGGAGCUACUAUCUUGUGUAAUCUUAUUAUGUAGGCAUCUUAUUGAACUUUACAAGUCCAAAGUGAAGAUGAAGUGUUAUAGCCUGCAAAGGGAGAUUCAAAGUGAAGCCUAUCAAGUCUACUUUCCAACAAAUCAAACGGCACAUGAUUCGGAGCUUGCUAGAGAAAGAUAUCACGAAUUAAAGUUGAAUCCGAUUCGGGUCCGAGCUGUCAGGAGACCCGAAUUUGUUUUAAUCACCCAGGCCGCAUCUGGAGUCCAAAUCAAGCAAAAAAGUACUUGUUGGAAAGUUAAUUACAAGACCUUUCCAACGGAUCUGGCCCCAUCAAGAGAUUCGACUCGUGCUGACCGUGGCGGACAAAACAAGCUGACGGAUCUGUUUUUCUGUUUCCUAAAGAGUUGUAGUUUGUUAGGAAAGUUAGAGAUAGAGUUGGAUUUCGGACUCCUUAAUCAAGGUGGACGAAAAUAUCUCUCCCUCCUCCUUUAUAUACCCCAUGAACCCCCUAAGGAGCUUUGGGUUUUGAUUAGAUAAAGUUUAGCCAUCUUUGCUACUUUCGUGUAAUCGCGUGUGUCGGUUAGACCACCUGUUUUAUCGUCAAGACUCCAACUUAUCGUCUCAUUGAGACAUUGGUUUGAUAUAGUAUAUUCGCAAUUUUAGAUUGCAUCUGCUAUUUAUCUUGUUCUUGCUUGUUCUUUGAUUGCUUGCAGGAACAAAGACCUUCGUGGUCAGGUUGAUCGUGCCCCCGCGUGAUCAAUAACCCUCUGGAGUUGGUGUAUCGAUUGCUAAGGCGCUGCCUCCUAGGCCGUAGUCGGAUCGUCAACGUCACCUUCUACCCAAAUCGAGAGUUACCAAUCUCAUCGAAAGAUCGGGCCACCCGCACCCGUAUCAUUUAUAUAAGUUCAAAGUAUUUUAUUUGGAACCAUUUGCAUAUUAUGAUUUUAUCGGACUAUUAUUCGCAUCUUAAUAAAUCCUAUUUUCCUUUUUAAGGAUUUAUUAGCACACUAAGUUUCCAAUUUGGAUGCCAUGACCAUUUGAGAGCAUCGUUGGAAUAUUUAAAUUGAUUAGAAAUGUUCUCCAACUUUUAUCUAAAUAAUAAAGAGAGGGAAUAAUAUGACUUUCCUAGUUAUAAGGUUGGAAACAUAUUUAAUGAUGCACCUAUGUUUUCUCAAUUUUUAUUUUGACAUGUUAAUAUUGUUUUUGAUAAGAAGUUAUCAAAUAUUCGAGAAGAGGAUAACGUGACAUCCUCAUGUGCAAAUGUUAUUCGAACAUUUAUUCCGUCGUUGAGAGUGGGAUAACGUGACUUCCCAAAUAUAUAUAUGGUUGAAAACAUCUGCGAUGGUUUAGAUGAUUUGUGAUUUGGUGUUAUAAAGCUAUUUGGGAAUUUAGUGAACCAUAUAAAUAUUAUAGGAUUUUAUUUGAUGUUCAACCCAAUGAGGUACUUAGCUAAGGAAGGGUUUUACUGCAAAGUAUGCCACUCCAAUAUUUUAUUGGAGUUUAAACUAAUUUAUGAAACAAAGAUUUCAUAAUAGAUUUCAAAACCUAUUUUAUUUAUUACUUAUAAAGCCCUAAUGACAUUUAUAUAAGAAAAAAUAUUUUCACUUAUUUUAUUUUGAAAGGAUUCAAGUCCCAAAAGUUCACAGUUUGGAGGAUUUGAAUUUACAAAUUUACUGGAGUUUAUUUGGACUUAUUUGGAGUUAGGAAUCAAAAGUUAUUAAUAAAAACAGAAAUGGAAAAAAAAAGGAAAACAAAAAAAGAAAGAAUGGACCGACCCAACUAGGCUGGCCCAUCGUGUUCUUCCUCCUCUCCACAAGAAGGAAACCCCUCCUUCUAUAUUUUCUUCCUUUGAUUUUUUUCCUUCCCGUGCGUCUCUCUUUGAAAGGAAACCACCCCAUCAAUUCUCACCAUCCCAGGAACCGAUUCAGGCAAUCAAUUUGAAGUUUCCUCUCAUAAUCGCAGUUUCCAAAAGAGGCGCUCCGAAUGCCGCCCGUCGACAUCCACGCCCGAUCUCCCUCCUCGACCAAUAUAAAAGGAUUCCACGCGCAUCACUUUGAGCCUUUGCCUCUCCUCUCCCAUUCCCAUGUGGAAAGCUUCGCCUCUAAACCUCUGUACAGCCGGCUACGUCGACGUCUUCCUCCACCGGUCACCGGUAAGGUUGCUGCGAUCAAUGAUCAAGAAGAACCUGCGUGCAUGGGAGGAGUGUUUGCCGCAUGUGGAAUUUGAAUAUAACAGGGCAGUACAUUCAUCAACGCAGCUUUGUCCGUUUGAGGUGGUAUAUAGUUUCAAACCCAUUACGCCAGUUGAUUUGCUGCCACUUCCAAGUCAAGAGCGUGUGAAUAUGGAGGCGUGCAAGCAUGCUGAUUUUGAUCGGAAGAGACAUGUAACAUCCCAAAAAUUUCAAACUUUUACAUGUGCAUUGCAUCCAUAAGCAUCAUGCCACAAUUGCAUAUUUGAAUUCAAAUUUGAAUCUCAAAAGGCUUCGGAAAGAUUUUAUUUCAAUUUAAACCCUAGGGUUUACACCCAUUUGAGCUUUGGAUCUUCAAACCAAUAGGGUUUAUUUAUAAAAGGGGUUUAUUGCAUAAAUAAGCCAUCCCAUAAUUAUUUGGAGUUGAAAAACUAUUUUAUUUAAAUAGUUAUAUAGCCGUAAAGGCAUUUAUAGGGAAAAUGUAUUUUUAGAUAUUUUAUUUUGAGGGGAAAUUACUCCCAAAAGUUGUAUCAUGAUAAAACAUGAUUUUACAAAUUUUCUGGAAUUUAUUUGGACCAAUUUGGGGCUCAAAAUCAAAAGAUAUCAAAGAAAUAAGAAAAAGAGAAAAAGAAAAGGCUACAAGAAAAAAAAAGGGGAAAACCGGACCGGCCCCGCCGUUUUGGGCCGAACCGGCCCCGCUUCGGCCAAGCCCGCCCGAACCGGACCCGCCCAGCGCCGCGCGCGCGCGCUUGAGCCACCGACAGGUGGGGCCCACCUGUCGGGGUCGUCUUCUCCGCGGCGAAAGCCCCGGAUUUCCGCCGCCCGCGCCGCCGCCUGCCGUUUUCGCCGCCGCGUGCCGUCUCCGCCGCAAUCUCCUCCCCCCCCUUCCUGAUUUCGCAGCCCCGACCGCGUCCAUAUAAAGGCCACCGCCUCCUCUCUCUUCCCCUAAACCCCCUCGCCACCACGCCGCCAGGCCGCCGGAAUACCUUGCCGGGGCAAGGAGUCCCCCCCGCCGCCGUUUUUGCUUCGGGUCGACACCACCGGUGAGCCUCUUCGCCCGAACCUUGCAAUUUCUGGACUGCAUCGUCCUCGCGCCUAUUUUGACACGCGCGGAUUUGUCCUAGGUGCGCCCUAGCAGCCGGAGCAGUGCCGACGUCCUCGCCGGAGCCCGCGCCCUCGCCGUCGAGAGUCCCCGUAGUCCUAGACGUCGCCCUCGACCUCGUUUCGUCGUGCGGACCGCGUCACGGUCUUCGCCUCAUCGCGCCGUGCGCACCCAUGUCUUCCCUGAGCCGCCCGCGUCGCCGGAACCGCCCGUGCCGCUGCCGCCCGUGCCUGCGCCGCGGUCCCCCCCGUCUCCGGUGACCGCCGCCACCGCCAGGUAAACCCUGGCGCAUCUCGGCCGUCCAUUUCAUCCCAACGGCUAAGAUUAGAAGCCCUCGCGCCCUUUAAAACGAACCGCUAUCGUCCAAUGAGAUUGUGACACGUGGCACCUAUUUUAUAAAACAAAAAAUGUAAUUUAAUUCCCAGAAUAAUUAGAAAUGGCACUUUUGCAGAAAAGCCCUCGAAACUUCAAAUGAUCAUAUUUUUUAAUCUGUUUGGCCAAAUUUGACGAUCCACACCUUUCUGGAAUCAUUAAGAAAUGUAUAAUUUUUUGGCACUGUGCAAUUUCAAAUUUGAGUUUUUGAAUCACAGUCAAUUUACAGAAUAGGGUUUAGUGCCAUUUAAAUCAUAACUAAUUAUUUAGAAGUCCUUUUUAAAUGAAACCAGUGCCCAAAAACUUGUUUUUUUAUCCUCUGUCCAUUGGGACAGAGCACCAAAUGUUUUGAACUAAAUUAUUUGGCUGAUGCCAAUAAAACUAAAAUUUAGGGUUUUGGUAAAUUGUUUUUGCCUUUUGUUUAAAACCCUAAUGCAUUAAUGUUUAAUUACCAAUGCUUGGGAUCAGUUGAUCAUCCAAAUAAAAUAAACCCAAUCAUGUCACAUGCUUGCAUCACAUCAUAGGAUAUUUUCUUUUGCCAUGAUGUGAAUUUUGUGUUUAUGUAUCCAUUGUUUGUAUUUGAAUAGUUUUCUCGGAUAGCGAACCUUGUGAUUGUGACGAGUGUUUGAACUCCAACCGCUACCAAGGCAAGUUCACUUUGACCAUCAUCCCAUUAUUUUAUUAUGCACUAGAUUUUAUUAGUUGCAUUGUUCGGAAUAUUAUGGUAUCUAUGCUAGCUAUGAUCUCUCUUAGUAGUAUCGGAUACCUUUGCCAUGUUCUUACCACCAAUUGCCAUCGUCGUAGUAAAAUGCCAUGCUAUGAUAAUAUACAAGGGUGGUAUUAUUACAAUGUGAUACUAUUGAAUUCCAAUAUGAUUUUCCUAGUGUAUGGCAAAACAAGUAAUUCAAUGAAUCGUUCUGGGUGGGCGGCUUUGAGUUUUCGGAUGUCGUGACGUUAGGUCCAUUUCUAUGGGGCCCACUGAGUCGUCUCCCCGUGAGAUUCGGGGAGCGUCCAUGGUCGUCUCCCCGUGAGAUUCGGGGAGCGCUUGCGUCACAAUGUGGAAUGCCACCCGGGGUAACCAGAGACUGGACUAGUUUCCUGUUUAGUAGCUUCCAGUACAACCACAUGGUAUUAUGGGCUCUGCCAGGAUGGACGUAAGAAAUAUGAACCUGGAUCCGAGGUGACAUCGGUAUGUAGCAGUGUAGGUCGGAACGCGUCCCUCAGGUGGUUUGGGGGAAUAUGUUCUGAAAAUUCCUGUAAUCGAUGCCGUUGCUACUCUACCCUUAGGACAGCAAGGGAUUAACACGUCGAUUUCUUGUGGGUAAAGUGUACCACCUCUCGAGAGUGUCAAACUAAGUACUUAGCCUUGUCCCCGGUUACGGACAAUUAUGAGCAACUAGAUAUUGGGCUGUAAGGAAGGUCUCACUCAUUCCAAUUUCCUAAUAAAAUGAAUGGAUUGAACUGGGAAGGAGCAUUGAUGUAUCUACUCAAUGUGCCUAGGUUAAGAGGAGCAUUGAUGUAUGUACUCAAUGUGCCUAGGUUAAUAGGAGCAUGGGUGUUUCUACCCCGUGUCCAAUAGAAUUCAAAACUAUUUGUUUAAAAAUGAUAGGAUUGAAUAAUGAUGCUUUUAUGCAACUAGCCAAACCCUCCUAGCCAAAUUAUGCAUGUACUUGGUAGGUCCUUUAUAACUCUGGUGAACUUGCCAAUAAAUUCAAAUGUAUCGACCACGUAGGGGCUGCAAUUAACAAUGCAGGUGGAUCCGACGAUGAGUGAGGUUCGUCGUUAUGUUGUGGGUCAUGUGCUUACAUUCCAACAUGCUCUCACCUUGGAGUACUUGUGGCCCUUAUGUUCUACCCUUUUCCGCUGCAGUAUUUUGAAACAUUGUUUUAUGAUGUUCAAACAGUAUUUGCUUUAUGCUGACCCAAGAGGUCAUGCGAGGUUGUAAGUACUAUUUAAAUCCUAGAUGAUGCGAUGUAAUAAUGUACUUUUCACCUUUGCUUAUGUAUAUUUCAUCAUGAAACUGUGUGUGCUAGUGAGUCGAUCCAGGGACUAGCACAGUAAGCACAGAGAUCGAACCCUGUAAGGGGGAGGAUCGCUUCAGAUGGUAUCAGAGCAAUGUGUUGCCUGUAGGAACGUGACCCUAGUUUGGAUUAGGAUGAGACAAAACCAAGGACCAAACCUUAGGAUUAUUUCUUAUUCAUAUCUGAUCUAUAUAUAUACACAUAUAAUUUACUCCUUAUCCCUAUUCAUCGAACACAUUGCAUUUAUAUCUUACAUAUGCAUGACAUGUUUAUUGCUUUUAUUCCUACAUAUACACCAAAUACUAUGCCUUAUACCACAGAUGCAUGUUUAUUUUAUUAUACCACAGAUACAUAUUUAUUUUGCUAUACCAUCCACCACUAUAAUCAUGUUGCUAUGUUAUUAACAUAUUAUUAUGCAUCCAAUUUUAUUCCACCAUAUAUAUAUUAAAUUUUAUCGCUUUACUCCCACUCUACUACCUUUAAACUAUUUUUUUUACAUACAUUCGACCAUUUUGAUCAUGUCACUGAUACUCCCUUACCUUCCUUCUUGUUUUGUAUAGAUGGGAAGCCCAACACCUUUCGGCAACGUACCGCCGUUUACCCGAGUCUACUACCCCUCCACAGACGACGACCAGUUGUUCAGUGCCUCUUUGGCAGCACUGUGUGCGUCUCUUGACCUGCCACCACCCAGGUUCAGAGGCCGAGUCGAGCCCGCCGUGCCAGAAGGAUGGCAGCCACGGUGGGAGAUUGAGGCGAAGAUCCGCGGGCAUGAGAUCGCGCCUGCUACACAGGAUAUCACCUUCAUCGCCCGCUACCCCACCUUCGAGCAAGGCCUUCAGUUCGCCAUGCAGUGCGCCUUCGCGCAGGUGUGCCGGGACUAUCAGCACAAGUUUACCGAGACCUCUCCUUUCCGUCUCUUUGGAAGGCGGAACCACACGUGCCAGGCCAUGCCAGCAGCCGACGACCAGGAGGUGUCCGAGGUGGCUGCCUAGUUCUAGAGCAUGGAGAAGAACACCGAGGAUCAAGAGACCUGCCUUGGUGAGGAGAUGACCAGGACCGACGAUGCUGAGAAGCUAGUCGGUCAUCUACUGGAAGAGAAGACCCAAUGGCAGGAAGAUAAGGCAUUGCUACAGAACACCGUCCUCAACAUGGGAGAUGCCAUUGACCAGUUGAAGUACGAGAGAGACCUGGCUCGCUACUACUGCGAGCAGUUCAAGGCCUUCAUCGAGGCAGCAGCCGUAGCCGCCGCCGAGCCAGCACCAACUGCCGCACCGGCACCAGACCAGGCCCCACCUCCACCACAGGAUCAGGAGGUGGUACCUCAGGAGGUAGCGCCGACUGAGCAGGAGGAGCCCCAGGAGGUCCACGAGAUGGACACCCCUGCCACCAACACCCGCUCCAAGAGGAAGAGGGUGAAUGGAGCCACGACGACAGCCACACCUCCCUAGUCUCGUAGCCUGCCAGUCUUGUAUCAGUUAACUAUCGUUAUCAGUUUUGCGAGUUAGUCAUUGACCAAUGUAGAUCGAUUGCAUUUUCCUGUACUCUUUUCUUAUGGGCAGUACCCCAUCAUGAACAAGUGUGUUUUGCUAUAUUUUCCAAAAUCUUUUUAUGAUUGAUUGAGUGUAUGAUUGAUAUAUGCUUGAGUCAAUAUCUUGUUUUGGGGGACUUAGACAUCCUUAGCUCUAUUCUAUCUUGAUACGGGUGCGGGUGGCCCGAUCUUUCGAUGAUAUUGAUAACUCUCGAUUUGGGUAGGAGGUGACGUUGACGAUCCGACUACGGCCUAGGAGAGCGCCUUAGCAAUCGAUACACCAACUCCAGAGGGUUAUUGAUCACGCGGGGGCACGAUCAACCUGACCACGAAGGUGUUGUUCCUGCAAGCAAUCGAAGAACAAGCAAGAACAAGAUAAAUACCAGAUGCAAUCUAAAAUUGCGAAUAUACUAUAUCAAACCAAUGUCUCAACGAGACGAUAAGUUGGGGUUCCGAAAGCGGUAAAACAGGUGGUCUAAACGACACACGCGAUUACACGAAGUAGUAGCGAUGGCUAACUUUUAGCUAAACAAAACCCAAGGCUCCUUAGGGGGCUCAUGGGUUAUAUAAAGGAGGAGGGAGAGAUAUUUUCGUCCACCUUGAGUAUUGAGUCCGAAAUCCAACUCUAUCUCUAACUUUCCUAACAAACUACAACUCUUUAGAAAACAGAAAAACAGAUCCGUCAGCUUGUUUUGUCCGCCACGGUCAGCACGAGUCGGAUCUCUUGAUGGGGCCAGAUCCGUUGGAAAGGUCUUGUAAUUACCUUUCCAACAAGUACUUGUUUGCUUGAUUUGGACUCCGGAUGCGGCCUGGGUGAUUAAAACAAAUUUGGGUCUCCUGACAGCUCGGACCCGAAUCGGAUUCAACUUUAAUUCGUGAUAUCUUUCUCUAGCAAGCUCCGAAUCAUGUGCCGUUUGAUUUGUUGGAAAGUAGACUUGAUAGGCUUCACUUUGAAUCUCCCUUUGCAGGCUAUAACACUUCAUCUUCACUUUGGACUUGUAAAGUUCAAUAAGAUGCCUACAUAAUAAGAUUACACAAGAUAGUAGCUCCGCCUCUUUGCAAGUAACAUAUUGAAAACAUUUUGUAAUUGAAUUCAUCUGAUUAUAAUUAUUAGAGACACCAACAAUUAGGGUUCUAAUGGUUGUAUCCAUGGUUAGCAUGUCCAUAUCAUCCUCCCUUUCUUGAAAGGAAAGCCGUCCUCAGCGUCGUUUAUGCUGAAAAUAUGCAAACAAAAGGGACAAGGUAUGCGCAUGGUAUAUGUAUAUAUCGUUAUUUUUAACUCCACUCCCAUGUUGCACAAUUAAUGUUUUAUAACACAAUCUCAUGAGAUAAUUAGUCACACAAUCAUCAUGAAUAUCAUUCCAGCAAGAAGAUUGACAAUAUGUUUUGCAUAUAUAAGUGAAACAACAUCUUGUAUUUGGUUUGCACCGCUCACCAUUAUACCAUCCCAACACUGGAGAAUAAUAAUUAAUAAUGUUACCCAAAUUAGUUACUACAAGAUGCUGAAAUUUAGAGCAUGUCAAAGCACUAAUAUUCGAAUAAUCGUGUAAAGAACUAAUUGGCAAAUAAUCAACACCACUAUUGGAGGUCAUAUCAAAAUGGUUAAGCAUAUGCAACAUAUUAUUUUUCUCUCAAAUCAAGAAAGUUAUCACAAGCAAUGCAAAUCUGAUGCACCCAAAAUUUAUUGUUCACGUCAUGUUCUCCAAUUAAUUGAAUAGUGUAUCCAUGGGCAUUAGCAAAAGAUUUUGAAAUUGUUAACUCGGAACCUUUAUCCAUUGCAUGUGACAAAUAUAUAGGUGCAUCAAGUUUAAUAGAACACAGAGAAUUAUUAGGCGGAACCAUAAGAAACACUUCUUCAUGUUUAAUUAAUUCAAUGCAACAUAAAUCAAAUUUAAUCAUCGCGUCACAAGUCUGUUCCAAAACAGCAGAUAACUCAUCACAUAAAUCAUUAUCAUUUGAAUCAAUGGGUGCGCUCAAAUCGGCAAGUAAAUCAACAAUUUUACAAGGGGCAGCAUGUUCAUCAAAUAUCUCAUUUAUUUCAAUACACGUCAUAUUUAGUUCAGCAACACAAACCUCUGUAACAUUACCUUGUGGGCUCGCCUCAUUUGUAUUAUACCUUCUUUCUAACUUUCUCUCAGCUUCACGAGCAAGAUUAAGCAAACACAAUAGAGAGUCGUAAUCCCCAUAUUCAAUCACGUAAGAAAUUUCAAAAUUAAGCCCAUAAUAAAACCUAUCCAUUUUUCUUUGUUCGGUUUCAUCUAAACCAGAUCGCAAGGUUAAAAUUUGGAACUCAUGGUAGUAAUCAUCAACAGUUUUAUCAUCUUGUGUCAAACGUCGUAAUUUGGAACGCAACUCAUAAGCAUAACUUGGAGAAACAUAUUUUUCUCUCAUGAUUUUCUUCGUAUCAAUCCAAGUGUGAGGUAUUUUGUUUUCUCUAACUAUCUCACUCCACCAUGAUAAUGCAUCAAAACGAAAUCUACUACUAGCAAUUUGGACCUUACGACUAUCUAGUACAUGGAAGCAUGUGAAUUGCUCAAUUAGAGCUAUUUCCCAAUCAAUAUAAGCUUCAGCAUCAUUAUUUCCAUCAAAGAAAGGUCCAAAACAAUUAAUGACAUUACAAGGAUUGCGAUAUACCUUUUCCUUGCCAAUGUCAACAACAGACGAGGAGGAUGGAUGUGGUGAAAAACGCUCAUGUCGGUCACUUGAUAGCAUAGGCCUAUUUUCCAUCCUUUGUGUAAGUCCUGUCAUGGUUAGUAUAAGACAAGAAACAAAACACAGGAAUAUGUUCCUAUCAACUAAUAGGAUGUGGCUACAAGUCGCUCAACUAUCAAGCUAAAAAUCAAGUUCUUACAAGUUCUUACCAUGCAAAAUAGGAAGGUGAUGGCCAGCGGCGUGACCAAGCCCUCCGAAGAUUAAAUGUAUCGAUGCCUCGGUAACAAAGCAACCUAGGUGUAGAAUCUGUGGAGCUUGGAGGCUUUUGUGAGUAGCAAAGAAUAGCAAAUAAUCAAAUCAGCAAUGCAAAGUUGAAAAUAUGCUCAAUAAUGCUAGUCCUAGCUGCUGGAGUCGAUAAGAACGAAUUACAGAAAUAAUCUAAGCCUAGAUACUGAAGAAGAUAGGAUAGAAAGAUCAAACGAUGGCACAACAAGUAAAUCCCUGAGAUUUUUUUCUUCUUUUUUCUUUUUGUGGCCUUCGGUUUGGCUUCUUAUUCUUUUCUUCUUUUUUUUUCUUUUUUUUUUAACCCCAGAAACUCACGCAAAAGAAGGACCGGAAAACUGUACGUCGGUCUAUCGAAGAACAGCAAAGGCUGCAGUAACAAAAAUUCAGAAAAAUAUGAAAAAAUAUGGGUUAGAAGCGUAUCGACACAAGCUUUCUAGCAAGGGCAAGAUCACUCAAAACGGAUGUCGGACGGUGGAGAAAACUGAGAAACACCGGGCUGCAGCGACGCCGGAAAACGGAUGCAGAAACUUGGAAGCUCCGAAAGUCCACCUUACAAACUGAAUUUGAGGGUCAAAGUGUAGGGCUAUGCCCUGGAUAUUUCCUGAUGCGCCUCGUCGUGAGCUUUCCAAAAAGUCCAAGAACGUCCAAAUCCGAGUUAGUACGCAAAAGAUACGCCCGUUUUACUGAACACGGGUCAAACCCACCCGAAACUAAAAUUCUACUCGGACUCGGGUCCGAAACUGACUCGAACUCUUUCUCUUUUUUUUUUGUUUUUUUUUUCUCUCUUUCCUUUUUUUUUCUUUCCUUUCUUUUUUUUUCAACUUUCCAAACAACUUGAUCUCUAAACCAAAUUCGAUCGAUGAUGAAACACUUUUCAAAAGCACUCCUUAUUGGACUCGGACUCGAACUCACGGCUGAAAACUAUUACUUGCCGACUCGAUGUAGAACUCGAAGAGAGACACAAUGUAGGACUUGACGAGGGACUCGGUGUAGGACUCGAAGAGAGACUUGGUGUAGGACUCGAUGAGGGACUCGGUGUAGGACUCAAAGAGGGACUCGGUGGAAGAUAUGGUGGCGGCGGGAGAUUAUGGCAAUCGAUACACCAACUCCAGAGGGUUAUUGAUCACGCGGGGGCACGAUCAACCUGACCACGAAGGUCUUUGUUCCUGCAAGCAAUCGAAGAACAAGCAAGAACAAGAUAAAUACCAGAUGCAAUCUAAAAUUGCGAAUAUACUAUAUCAAACCAAUGUCUCAACGAGACGAUAAGUUGGGGUUCCGAAAGCGGUAAAACAGGUGGUCUAACCGACACACGCGAUUACACGAAGUAGUAGCGAUGGCUAACUUUUAACUAAACAAAACCCAAGGCUCCUUAGGGGGGCUCAUGGGGUAUAUAAAGGAGGAGGGAGAGAUAUUUUCGUCCACCUUGAGUAUGGAGUCCGAAAUCCAACUCUAUCUCUAACUUUCCUAACAAACUACAACUCUUUAGAAAACAGAAAAAUAGAUCCGUCAGCUUGUUUUGUCCGCCACGGUUAGCACGAGUCGAAUCUCUUGAUGGGGCCAGAUCCGUUGGAAAGGUCUUGUAAUUACCUUUCCAACAAGUACUUGUUUGCCUUAUUUGGACUCCGGAUGCGUCCUGGGUGAUGUUUCCUCAUCUAUGCUACCCAAAAACAGAUGCCUCCGAGAUGCCAGAACCCCGCCAACAACGCCGAGGCUAACAACGCCGAAGCUAACGGGAAUGCUGCCACCAUGCAGCAACUAUUGGCCGCCCAGACCCAGUUCUUCUAGCUAAUUACUCACGAAAUGGCCAACAACAACAACAACAAUCAACAGAACAACAACAACCAGCAGCACCACCCACCUCAAGUGGAUAUGCUGACCAGAUUUCUGCGUUUGCGACAGCCCACUUUUUCAGCUCCACUGAGCCCAUUAUGGCUGAUGAUUGGCUUCGUUCAGUCAACAAGAAUUUGGUCACCAUCAACUGCACUGAGGAAGAGAAAGUGCGGUUUGCAGCUCAUUUGCUAGAAGGACCCGCAGCGUCAUGGUGGGAAAAUUUUCAGAUCACCACCCCCAUCGAAGAUGUCACCUGGGACAUGUUCCAGGAAGCUUUCCGCACCACCCACAUCUCUGCGGGAGUGCUUAGUCUGAAGAAGAAGGAAUUUCACAGGCUGCGUCUGGGAAGCCGCUCUGUGUCGGAAUAUAUAGAAGUAUUCAACCAGCUGUCCCGCUACGCGCCGGACGAUGUGAACACUGAUGCCAAGCGCAGAGAGAAGUUCUUGGACGGUUUGAACGACGAGCUGUCAGUUCAACUUGCUGUUGCUUACACCCCCACUAACCAGUCCUUGAUUGACAAGGCCAUCAUUUUGGAAAGUAAGCUCACUCAAAUGGAGAGCCGCAAGAAGAGACUUCACUAAGGAGGCCCUCACACCGGCCCGCACCAGAAGUAGCGCACCUCCUAUGAUAGAAGUGGCAGUUCCUCCUUGAGCAGGAACAGGAAUCAGAGCAGCCACCGCAGUGGAAGUAAUGGUCACAACCACCGCCAGGGAAACCAAGGACACCACCAUCAGGGUGGCAAUGGGAACCGGCACCAUCAGCAGCACCACCAGCAGCAUCAGUUCUCUCGCCCAAGGCCCACCAAUGGCAAUGGGAAUGGCAGGAAGAACGGCAAUGGUCAGAACCACAACGCCAACAAGGACCUGAGCAAGGUGAGUGUUACAAGUGUCACAAGAUGGGGCACUACGCCACCAACUGCCCGAACAACUAGGAUGGCACUGGGAACAAGCCCAAUCCGUUCCAGAAGGGCCACGCGAAUCACGUGGACGUGGAAGAGAUCACCGAGGAACCAGGUAUCAUACUUGGCAGCUUCCACAUUAAUUCUUUUGAAGUACUAGUUCUUUUCGACACUGGUGCAUCACAUGCAUUCAUUUCAAGAGUAUUGGUAGAAAGAGGAAAAUUACCCUCUGAGACCAUGGGUAGACCCAUGAAAGUGAAUUCACUGGGUGGAACAAUACUAGCAACCUGACACUGCCACCAGCUACCCCUAAGUAUUGGGAGACAUGUUUUUUCCCUUUGAUCUCAUAGUGAUAGAUUCCCGAGGACUGGACCUAAUCCUGAGAAUGGACUGGUUGACCUUGUAUGAAGGUUUAGUAGACUGUGCCCAGAGGACUGUCACACUCACAACCCCUGACAAAAGACGCAUCCGGUACAAGUCAACCCAUGAGCUUAAGAGACCCAAGAUUAAUACUCUUAAGGGGGUUAGCAUGGACGAAGUACCCAUGGUGAAGGAAUACCCGGACGUAUUCCCAGAGGAAUUACCAGGCAUGCCACCGGACCGUGAUGUUGAAUUCCUCAUUGAGUUAAUGCCAGGAAGUGGACCCAUAGCCAAGAGACCAUAUAAGAUGGCCAUGGAUGAAUUAAAGGGGUUAAAGAAGCAGCUAACUGAACAGUUAGCGAAAAGUUUCAUCCGCCCCAGUUCAUCACCAUGGGGAGCACCUGUCCUGUUUGUGGAAAAGAAGGACAAGACUCAACAGAUGUGCAUCAACUUUCGUUCACUAAAUGAGGCGACGAUAAAGAAUAGAUAUCCUUUGCCCAUAAUCAAUGAUCUUUUCGAUCAAUUGAAGUGAGCUCAAGUGUUCUCAAAGAUCGACCUGCGAUCAGGAUAUUUUCAGCUAAAGAUCCGAGAGAUGGAUAUACCCAAGACAACAUUCACCACUAGGUAUGGAUUGUAUGAGUAUACAGUGAUGCCAUUUAGUUUGACCAAUGCACCUGCAUACUUCAUGAACAUGAUGAAUAAGGUGUUCAUGGAUUUCUUGGACAAGUUUGUCAUACUAUUCAUCGAUGGCAUCUUGAUCUAUUCCAAGAGCAAGGAAGAGCAUGAGCAGCAUCUGCGCAUGAUUUUGGAGAAGUUGAGAGCGCACAAGUUGUACGCCAAAUUCAGCAAGUGGGAUUUUUGGUUGUCAGAAGUUAGUUUCCUUGGACACAUAGUGUCAGGAGCCGGAGUAGCUGUUGACCCAGCUAAGGUUGCAGCAGUUACAGAAUGGGAGGCACCGAAGAAUGUCGGAGAAGUCCGCAGCUUCCUUGGACUGGCUGGUUACUACCGGAGGUUCAUUGAGAAUUUCUCCAAAAUAGCAAAACCCAUGACUGAGCUCUUAAAGAAGGAGAAGAAGUUUGCCUGGCAUGAGAUAUGUGAAGAGAGCUUCCAGGAUUUGAAGAAAAGACUAGUGUCUGCGCCCAUCUUUGUUUUGCCUGACCUGCAACAGUAUUUUCAAGUAUACUGUGACGCCUCACGUCAAGGAUUGGGAAGAGUGUUGAUGCAAGGAGGUAGAGUCAUAGCGUACGCUUCGCGCAACUAAAGAGCCACGAAGGCAACUAUCCCACUCAUGACUUGGAAUUAGCUUCGGUAGUGCACGCCCUGAAGACUUGGAGACACUACCUGAUGGGGAAACACUGUGAGUUCUUUACUGAUCACAAGAGCCUGAACUACAUAUUCACUCAGAAGGAGUUGAAUCUGAGGCAGAGAAGAUGGUUAGAACUGAUAAAGGACUAUGACCUGAGUCUGCAAUACCAUCCAGGCAAGGCUAAUGUUGUAGCCGAUGCAUUGAGCCGCAAGGGCUAUAUAAAUGGACUAACAGCUGGAGAUUUAACGCCUGAAUUGUGCGAACAGUUCAAGGACCUCAGACUGAAAAUAGUACCGAAAGGUUAUUUAGCCACUUUGGAAGUACAGCCCACGUUGUUGGAUAAGAUUAGAGAAGCACAGAAGGGCGAUUUGGAAAUAAAGGAAGUAAAAGAGAAUAUGAAUAUCGGAAAGGCUAAAGAUUUCUGAGAGGACGACCAGGGUACCAUAUGGUUCGGAAAACGCAUUUGCGUACCACAGGAUCCGGAAAUCAGAAAGUUGAUACUGCAAGAAGCCCAUGAUUCACCGUACUCAAUCCACCUCGGGAACACUAAGAUGUAUAUGGACCUAAAGGAAACAUUUUGGUGGUCCGGAUUAAAGCGAGACAUCGCCGAGUUCAUUGCCUUGUGCAAUGUGUGCAGCAGAGUUAAGGCAGAGCAUCAGAAACCAGUAGGAUGGAAGUGGGAUAAAGUAGGCAUGGAUUUUAUCACCGGGUUACCAAGGACCAGAUCCGGAUAUGAUUUCAUUUGCGCAGUGGUUGACCGUUUGACCAAGGUUGCCCACUUUAUACCGGUAAAGACUACCUACACUAGUGCACAGUUAGCGAAGCGCUACAUGUCAAGGAUCGUGUGUUUACACGGAGUACCCAAGGAAAUAGUUUCAGACAGAGGUACCCAAUUUACCUCAAGAUUUUGGGGACAACUACAUGAGUCUCUAGGAACGAGACUAGAAUUCAGUACAGCAUUUCAUCCGCAGACGGAUGGACAGACCGAGAGAGUAAAUCAGAUCCUUGAAGAUAUGUUGAGAGCUUGCGCUCUAGAUUAUGGAUCCAGUUGGGAUGACAAUCUGCCGUAUGCAGAAUUCUCAUACAACAACAGCUUCCAACCCAGCAUAGGAAUGUCACCGUUUGAAGCUUUGUAUGGAAGGAGGUGCAGGACACCAUUGUUGUGGGAUGGUGUAGGAGACCGUAGCCUAUUCGGCCCAGAUUUGAUAAAGGAUGCCGAGGAAAAGGUUAGGCUCAUCCGAGAUAGACUAAAGGUAGCUCAAUCAAGGCAGAAGAGCUACGUGGAUUCCAAACGUAGGGAGGUUACCUACGAGAUUGAAGGUAGAGCAUAUCUCAGAGUGUCACCGAUACGCGGAGUUAAGAGAUUUGGAAUCAAGGGAAAGUUAGCACCCUGUUUCAUUGGACCUUUCAAGAUCUUGUCACGCCAAGGAGAAGUGGCUUACAAGUUGGAUUUACCAGAAGCACUGUCCAAUGUCCACAAUGUCUUCCAUGUAUCCCAACUAAAGAAGUGUCGUCCUGAGAUGGCCGACACACCAUUGAGGGAUACGAUACCUCUUGAGGAAGUCCAACUGCAGAGUGACCUCACCUAUGAGGAGAAACCGAUCGGAAUCUUGGAUACAGCUGAGAGACAAAACCGAUCAAAGACCAUCAAGUUUUGCAAAGUGCAGUGGGACCAUCACACUGAAGAGGAAGCCACUUAGGAACGCGAAGAUAAUCUUCGAGAAAACCACCCACACCUAUUUGCUAACCACACCGAAUCUCGAGGACUAGAUUCAUCUUAAGGGGGUCAGGUCUGUAACAUCCCAAAAUUUUCAAACUUUUACAUGUGCAUUGCAUCCAUAAGCAUCAUGCCACAAUUGCAUAUUUGAAUUCAAAUUUGAAUCUCAAAAGGCUUUGCAAAGAUUUUAUUUCAAUUUAAACCCUAAGGUUUACAACCAUUUGAGCUUUGGAUCUUCAAACCAAUAGGGUUUAUUUAUAAAAGGGGUUUAUUGCAUAAAUAAGCUAUCCCAUAAUUUUUGGAUAAUUAUUUGCAGUUGAAAAACUAUUUUAUUUAAAUAGUUAUAUAGCCCUAAAGGCAUUUAUAGGGCAAAUGUAUUUUUAGAUAUUUUAUUUUGAGGGAAAAUUACUCCCAAAAGUUGUAUCAUGAUAAAACAUGAUUUUACAAAUUUUCUGGAAUUUAUUUGGACCAAUUUGGGGCUCAAAAUCAAAAGAUAUCAAAGAAAUAAGAAAAACAGAAAAAGAAAAGGCUAAAAGAAAAAAAAAGGGGAAAACCGGACCGAACCGGCCCAGCUUCGCCCGAGCCGGCCCGAACCGGACCGACCCGGCGCCGCACGCGCACGCCCGAGCCACCGACAGGUGGAGCCCACCUGUCGGGGUCGUCUUCUCCGAGGGGAAAGCCCCGGAUUUCCGCCGCCCGCGCCGCCGCGCGCCGUCUCCGCCGCAAUCUCCUCCCCCCCGUCCUGAUUUCAUAGACCCGACCGCGUCCAUAUAGAGGCCACAGCCUCCUCUCUCUUUUUCCCCUAAACCCCCUCGCCACCACGCCGCCAGGCCGCCGGAAUACCUCGCCGGAGCAAGGAGUCCCCCGCCGCCGUUUUUGCUUCGGGUCAACACCACCGGUGAGCCUCUUCGCCCGAACCUUGCAAUUUCUGGACCGCAUCGUCCUCGCGCACGUUUUGACGCGUGCGGAAUUGUCCUAGGUGCGCCCUAGCAGCCAGAGCAGCGCCGACGACCUCGCCGGAGCCCGUGCCCUCGCCGCCGAGAGUCCCCGCAGUCCUAGACGUCGCCCUCGACCUCGUUUCGUCGCGCGGACCGCGUUACGGUCUUCACCUCAUCGCGCCGCACGCACCCGUGUCUUCCCUGAGCCGCCCGCGUCGCCGGAAUUGCCCGCGCUGCCGCCGCCUGUACCUGUGCCGCCGUCUCCCCCGUCUCCGGUGACCGCCGCCACCGCCAGGUAAACCAUGGCGCAUCUCAGCUGUCCAUUUCAUCCCAACGGCUAAGAUUAGAAGCCCUCGCGCCCUUUAAAACGAACCAGUAUCAUCCAAUGAGAUUGCGACACGUGGCACCUAUUUUAUAAAACAAAAAAUGUAAUUUAAUUCCCGGAAUAAUUAGAAAUGGCACUUUUGCAGAAAAGCCCCCAAAACUUCAAAUGAUCAUAUUUUUUAAUCUGUUUGGCGAAAUUUGAUCAUCCACACCUUUCUAGAAUCCUUAAGAAAUGUAGAAUCUUUGGCACUGUCUGAUUUCAAAUUUGAAUUUUUGAAUCACAGUCAAUUUAUAGAAUAGGGUUUAGUGCCAUUUAAAUCAUAACUAAUUAUUUGGAAGUCCUUUUUAAAUGAAACCAGUGCCCAAAAACUUGUUUUAUUAUCCUCUGUCCAUUGGGACAGAGCAAAAAAUGUUUUGAACCGCUUUUGGUGUUGCGGCGUGACUCCCAGGUGUUCUAGGCUCGCGUCUCUAGCACGGUAUUGCCUAGGGCCAGCACGGUACCGUCGUUGAGCUAUUAUUCAACUUGUGGCAUUACUGUUUUGAAUUGUUGCUACAGAUAUUAGGAUACAGCCACCCAAAGCUCCACAUAUUCCUACACCGUGCGUUGACACCGCCUGGCAAUCGCUUUAUUCAAUCUUCCUGAGGUUUAAUCACAACGGUUGCUAGUCACCACCUGCUGCAGGGUAAGAACGGGUAAGAAUCUUGGUUUGCUUGACAGAUUACGCGUUCUCCGCCACUUGCCCGAAGCAUAUACACCCAUAUUGCUGUGCUUUUUGAAUACUAAUCAUGAUAGGUGGGGAGGAGACUUCAGAACCAACAAGCGCUGAAGUACAGGCGAACUUCACCAAGCUUUUGGACGAUCACAUGCAGGACGUCGACAAACGCUUUAAUGAUACGAUGGAACACCUUGGGGGCCUCGAAACAUCUUUCACCGACAAGCUUGACGCCAAAUUCCGGGAGUUGAUGGCGCGCUUGCCACAACCUACCGCCACUCGGGCUCCCCCUCUCCACGCAUUCGCAGGGCGGGCACAGCGUGUUCCCGUUCACCAAGGUCAAACCUCGACUGCUGCUGCUCGUGAGGAGCAACAUGAGGAGUCUUACGGGGACGACGAGUCCAAGGGCAAGCGAGAGGACGAGGGGGAAGUUCUACAACAGCCGCGUGGUCGUCCACGCCCCUACAUUCGCCACGCACGCCCGCAUGUGCCGCCGGUACGUGAUGAUGACCAUGUUGCGAAAUUAAAAUUGACUAUACCCAUGUUUGAUGGUAGAUAUAAUCCUGAUGCAUACCUUUCAUGGGAAUUAGAUGUACAACAACAUUUUACAUGCUUAAAUUAUCCAGAGGAUAGACGUGUUAGUGCUGCUACUUGUGAGUUCACUAGUUUUGCUUCCAUCCGGUGGACUGAAUAUUGUCGUGUUAAUUAUGCUAAUCCAGUCACUACAUGGGAUGCUUUGAAACGGGCCAUGCGAACUCGUUUUGUGCCACCAUCAUAUCAGCGUACCUUGCUCAACAAAUUAACACGUUUAGAUCAGGGCAAAAAUUCUGUAGAAGAGUACUAUCAAGAAUUACAAACUGGUAUGAUGCGUUGUGGCAUAGUGGAAGAUAAUGAAGCUUUACUUGCACGAUUUUUCGAUGGGUUAAAUAAGGAGAUUCAGACCAUUCUUCGAUAUAAGUCAUACCAUACUAUAACUCGUUUGUUCCACCUUGCUUGCAAUGCUGAAUGUGAAGUGCAGGAUCGGAGAGAGGCGACCCGAACUAACUUUUCUGCAGGGCGUUCUAAUUCUUGGAGAACAUCGCCUUCUUCGUCACGGGCUGCUGCACCAUCCACUUCCACGCCCACACCCACGCGAGCUACAACUACUACAUCGCCUCCUGCGCCGCAUAGGAACGAAGGCCGGGAACAUGUUGGCUCCAAAAUGGGAGGGCCCCUUCCGGGUAGUGCAGGUGACCAGGCGGGGGGCUUUCCGGCUGGAAACUGAAGAAGGCUUGCCGGUGCAAAAUAGCUGGAAUAUUGAGCACAUGCGCAAGUUCUACCCGUGAAGCGGCGGAGCCCAACCCACAGGUGAUGCCGCCGAAGCAUGCCUCUCGAACUAGUGUACCUGGGCAACCCCCGAUUGUAAACCACUAGUUGCUGUGAAUAAAGAUAAGUGCUUUCUCCUAAAUUGCAAGUUGCCUCGAUUAUUUGCGUAUUUUCUCUCCUUCUGUCUCCUGCUUUAGGUGGACAGAAGUAUCUUUCUAUCCUUGGUUAUUAACAGGGGGUUGCCAGAGCCUCGAAACGAAAACCUGUUGCUGGAUCACUCCGGCACGGGGUCAUGCCGUUGCCGGGCUCCCCGCAACAUGCAUCACGCAAACGCUGCGUCUUGGAAUAGAGGAGUGCUCACACCCAAGUUUGGUAUCGACCCUUCUGUGCUCGGGGGCUGGGAGGCAAGAGGGUUAUCCAUGUUGCCCCGUGUUUUCGUGAAUUUCGAAAAAAAUUUGCAGCAUCCUGGGCUUGGUAAGAAUCUGACACGCAGGAAAAAACGGAGUCGGGCGCACUGUACUGCUCGUGGACCACCCACGGGUUGUGGCGCUUAGCGGUGCCUUGUAGUGUGGAGCGACCGCACUUCAAGGUUCUCGCCGCACUUCGAGGCUCCUGCUUCAGGGGGGAGCCGUCACGUGUGCCGCGGCGACUUGGCGUGCGUGGUGGCGAGGUCCUUACCGCACUUCAAGGGGUGUGGCACCACGGGGGCCGCGGUGACCCGGCGCGUGUGGGGGCAAGCCCCCCCUCCCCCCCCCCCCCCCCCGCGCCUAUAAAAGGGCGUACCAACCAUGGAGCAGCUCAGAGCGAAGCCAAGGAGAUGGUUGCAAAGACGAGCGAGGCCGCGGAGACACGGUGGUGGUGCAUGCCAUCCGCGCCCGACGCCGAUGGGUGCAAUGCCGUCGUGCCCCUGCCACGUCCCUCCGCCAGAAAGCUUCAAGCCCAGGAGCGCCGCAGAGACGCGAUGGCAGCGCAUUCCUCCGGCGCUCGUCGUCGGCGGGCGCUGCCAUCGCGUCCUUGCCGCGCCUCCUCCACCACGCGGUACUAAGGUGAGGGUUGCCGCUGUGGUGGCGCAACCACAGCGUUCCUGCCGCAUCCCUCAAGUGGGCUUCUCUAAAGGCGAGGGUUGCCGCGGUGACGCUGUCGGGGUGGCGCCACCCGUGCUUGGCGCCGGUGUUGCCCCCGCCACAGCGUUCCUGCCGCAUCCCUCAGGCAAGCGGAUUCAAGAGCAAGGGCUGCCGCGGCGAUGCUGUGGGGGUGCAUGCCAUCAGUGCCUAGUGCCGAUGGGUGCACAGCUACAGCGCCCCUGCCGCAUCCCUUCGACAAGCAUACCAAGCACGGGAACAAACGGAAAGCUAAGUACAUGAACCUGGUCCGGGAACUUUCUAAUACUAAACGUUGGAUCGCUAGCGUGGCCCAAACCUUGCGUGUGGCUGGGGUGUUAGAAGGACGCUCGCGGGGGGAGUGCGUUCCUCGUGCGGCUGGCGGGUCCGUCCCGGGAGCGCAUGCUGGGGGGUGGCUACCCCGCAAGCGGAGUGGCUCGCCGCUUGUCGCACCAGUGGCACUCGGGGUACCACCCUUGCACGACGCGUGGGUCGCAUCCCUGGGUUCCCGGGAGGAUCUCACCUCGGGCGGCAGUGUAUAGGCUGCCCGGCAAGCCACCAGCCUGGAAGGGCUCGCGGGGCUUCGGGGAAUGUUCCCGCCUGGGCAUCUCUCGGGAAGUCACUCGCCGGGAGGAGGGGUUCCUGGGCGCAGGUUCCCGCUGUGAGGGCGGGGCCGAGCCGGCAGAGCAGCGACGCCACGUGGGCGCGCGCCAGGCACCUAGUGUGCAGUUUUUCCAGGGCAAGGAGUGAGGCGCACGGCGCAUUUAAUGAGCCGACAGGAGGGGCGUUACCCGUCUAGUCAGGCGAACAGUGGCCGUCCAGUCCUAUGUUUUAGGCCCUAGAUCCCUAGCCGCGGGGUUGGCACCCGUGCAUGCAUGCCAGCGCACCGAGGAGGAGCUGCCUAAGCUCCUUGCUCGCCACUUGUAAACCAUGCACCGUGGCACCUGUGGUAUCCCCUUGGGUAUAAAAGGAGGACCCCCACCAACGGUCAAAGGGUUCUUUUUUUCGUUGGUUCAUAGUUGUUUUGUUCGUUGGUUGCACGGGCAGUAGUCUAAAGUAGAAGAGAACACUUAGCCAAAAAGAGACCACUCGGGGGCUCCCCCCCGGCAACCUCUAAACAACAGAUUCCACAGCAAUACAAGCUCAGACAAGCAGGACGUAGAGUUUUACACCGCAAGGUGGCCCGAACCUGGGUAAAAAGUGUGUGCAUGUGCCCUUGGUAGCGUUCCUGGUGCAUUCCUUCAACUUCAGCAGCCAGAGCGGGGCCGAGGCCUGCCGACGGCGGCGCCGGCAAGGAGGAAGCCCAGGGAGGACGCGGCCAGGCCCGCAUUGGCAGGGAGUGCCCUCCCCGAGGACGGGACAAGGCUCGUGCCGAGGAGCAGCGCGAGUCUGACUACACUGGCGGCGACGAGCCGGGCUUCCAGGAGCCCCCCGGCGUCGCCUGCAUCCAUGGGGGAGCGUAAGCUCCCCCAUCUGAUAUGGACAUGCUAACCAUGGAUACGACCUUUGAUACCCUCAAUUCUAUAAUACUUGACAAGAUUUAUAAUCAGGUGAAUUCAAGUAGUAAUUGUUUUCAUUGUCAUACUUAUGAAGAGGCGGAGCUACUACUAUCUUGUCUCGUUUUAUUACGUAGGCAUCUUGUCGAGCUUUUCAAGUCCAAGGUCAAGAUGAGAUACGGUGGAGGCGAACGGAAGGGCCAACAAGAAUCAAGCAUUCAUACAGCUGAGAGGGAAGGAUUUCAAGUGUACUUUCCAACAAAUCAAACGGCACAUGAUUCGGAGCUUGCUAGAGAAAGAUAUCACGAAUUAAAGUUGAAUCCGAUUCGGGUCCGAGCUGCCAGGAGACCCGAAUUUGUUUUAAUCACCCAGGCCGCAUCCGGAGUCCAAAUCAAGCAAACAAGUACUUGUUGGAAAGGUAAUUACAAGACCUUUCCAACGGAUCUGGCCCCAUCAAGAGAUUCGACUCGUGCUGACCGUGACGGACAAAACAAGCUGACGGAUCUGUUUUUCUGUUUCCUAAAGAGUUGUAGUUUGUUAGGAAAGUUAGAGAUAGAGUUGGAUUUCGGACUCCUUAUUCAAGGUGGACGAAAAUAUCUCUCCCUCCUCCUUUAUAUACCCCAUGAGCCCCCCUAAGGAGCCUUGGGUUUUGAUUAGAUAAAGUUUAGCCAUCUUUGCUACUUUCGUGUAAUCGCGUGUGUCGGUUAGACCACCUGUUUUACCGUCGUCAAGACUCCAACUUAUCGUCUCGUUAAGACAUUGGUUUGAUAUAGUAUAUUCGCAAUUUUAGAUUGCAUCCGCUAUUUAUCUUGUUCUUGCUUGUUCUUCGAUUGCUUGCAGGAACAAAGACCUUCGUGGUCAGGUUGAUCGUGUCCCCGCGUGAUCAAUAACCCUUUGGAGUUGGUGUAUCGAUUGCUAAGGCGCUGCCUCCUAGGCCGUAGUCGGAUCGUCAACGUCACCUCCUACCCAAAUCGAGAGUUACCAAUCUCAUCGAAAGAUCGGGCCACCCGCACCCGUAUCACCAUCCCAUGCCGCGGUGAAGCGCCUCACCCGUGACGUGCGCGCAUUGUUGCCGUACGCGGAGCCGCAGCAGCCGCUAAGGUGGUCGCACGUGCUAAGGACCUUCAGCGCCGACGAUCACCCAGCGCGGCAGCUGGGUUCCGGGGUCAUACCCUUCGAGGUCUCACUGAUCAUCAGCAACAUGACGGUGACCAAGGUGCUGGUGGACAACGGAGCGAGGUUAAACCUCCUGUCCGCCAGGUUGGUGGAGAAACUCCAGUUGCCAGUGGAGCAGCUGAAGCCCACCGACCCGUUCGGGGGAGUAAACCCCGGGUUCGUGCGCCCCCUCGGGUCCCAGGAAGCGUUCAGGACUGAGCACAUAGUGUUCGGCGUGGCGCACACCCCGUUGCCCUACAACGGGAACCUUGAUCAGCCGGCACUGAUCAAGUUCAUGGCAGCGACGUAUUGCACCUACGGCGUGAUGAAGAUGCCGUCCGUAUACGGAGUCCUCUCCAUCAGGUGCGACCUCAAGGACGCGGCCUGGUGCGUGGGCGAGGCUGUCAGGGCCGCCGCCGCAGCCGACGCCGGGGACGAGGAUGUGGCCGGACACGGAGGCUCGCCGGGUGAUGGCCCGGCAACGAAGAAGGCCCGCGCUGCCCCGCAAGAGCUUGCCGGGGGAAGCGCAGGCUCGAACUCAUGCCCCGGCAAGGGCCAGAAGCUCCGGGAGGAGGCCCCUAAGGUGAAGAAGCUGCCCCUCCAAGCCGGCAACAAGGAGCGCACCGUCAUCGUCGGUGCGAACCUUACACCUGAAUAGGAAAGCGCCCUCAUCACUUUCCUCCAGGAGAAUGCCGAUGUGUCCGCUUGGGAGCCGUCGGAUCUCCCCGGAGUCCCUACGGAGGUGAUUGAGCAUCGACUCGCGGUGCGCGCGGACGCCUGCCCCGUCAAGUAGAAGAUUCGACGGCAAGCGCAGGAGCGCAAAGAUUUCAUCAAGCAAGAGGUGGACAAGCUCAAGGCUGCCGGGGUUAUCUGGGAAGGUUUUUACCCCACUUGUUUAGCUAACCCCGUAGUAGUGCCGAAGGCGGGGAAUAAGCUUCGCAUGUGCGUAGAUUUUACUGAUCUAACCGUGCAUGUCCCAAGGAUCCUUUCCCUGUACCCCGUAUCGAUCAAAUAGUUGAUUCCACCGCUGGUUGUGACUUGCUGAGCUUCCUAGAUGCUUUUUCCGGCUACCAUCAAAUUAAGAUGGCGGUCGAAGACGAGGAGAAAACGGCGUUCAUCACCGCGGCUGGCUGCUACUGUUACACGUGCAUGCCUUUCGGGUUGAAGAACGCGGGUUCAACUUUGCAGCGCGCGUGGUAAGAAUCUAAUGUGCAGGGUAAAGGCGGAAUCUUGCGCACUGUAAUGCUCAUGGACCAUCCACAGGGUCGUGGCGCGUAGCGGCGCCUUGUGGUGCGGAGCGACCGCAUCACGGGGGACUCACCGCACUCCGAGGCUCUUGACCCAGGACGAAGCCGCCACGUGUGCCACAGCAACUUGGCAUGCAGAGUGACGAAGACCGCAUUGUGCUGGUGCCACGGGUGUUGCGCUGGCCCGUCGUGCACGGUGGCAAGCCCUUCCCCCGCGCCUAUAAAAAGCGCGCCCCGGCCAUAGAACGUCUCAGAGUGAAGCCAAGGAAGAGGUUGCGAAGGCGGGCUGUGCCGCAGAGACGCGAUGGUAGUGCAUGCCAUCGGUGCCCACACCGACGGGUGCACUGCCAUCACGCCCUUGCCGCAUCGCCCCACCGAGCCCACUCCGAGGGGCGUCGCAGAGACACGGUGGGGGUGCAUCCCACCGGCGCCUGGCGCCGGCGGGUGCACUUCUGCAGUGCUCCUCUAGAGGGCGAGGGCUGCCGCAGAAGCACUGUGGUGGUGCAUUCCAUCCGCGCUUGGCACUGACGGGUGCACUGCCGAAGUGCUCCGGCCGCAUCCCUCCAGAGGGUAUCUCCGCAAGGAGCGAGGGGUGUCGCGGAGACACUAUGGUAAUGCAUGCCAUCGGCGCUCAGCGCCGACGGGUGCACUGCCGUAGUGUCCCAGCCGCACCCCUCCAGAGGCGAGGGUCGUCACAAGGAUGCUAUGAUGGCGCCGGUGCCGGCGUUCGCUGCGGCCCCCCACAGCGUCCCUGCGGCGUCCCUCUGGCAGAUUUUCCCCAAGCAGCGAAGGAUGCUGUGGGGACGUCGUGAUGACCUCGCCACCCGCGUGCCGGUGGCGGCAAGGAAGUCACGACGUCCCUGCUGCAUCCCUUGGGACAGGUUCCUCCGAAACCAAGGGCUCUCCUAAAGGCAAGGGUUGUUGCGGAGAUGCGGCGGUAGUAUCGGUGUCGGUGCUUGACGCCGGCGGCAAUCCUGCGGCGGCGUUCCCGCCGCCUCCCUCAAACAGGCUUUCUCAAGGGCAACAUACCAGGCGUGCAAGCAAACGUUCCGAGCAUGAGACCGAACGAGAAGCUAAGUGCUUGAACCUGAACGAUAAACUCUUUAAGAAUUGAACGUAACUGAACGCUGCCUCACUAAGGGUGGCCCCGGAACCUACGUGUGGCCGAGGUGUUAGGAGGACGCUUGCGGGGGGAGUGCGCUCCCCGUGUGGCCUCCGGGUCCGUCCCAGGAGGGCAUGGCUUGGAGUAGUUACUCCGCAAGUGGAGUGGUCGCGCGCUAUUUCUUGACCCCAGGUCGGCACUGCGGGUUCGUCCUGGGUCCCUGGUCUGGUCAAGAGUGAGGCGCGCGAGUCCCCGGCAACACGAAGCACACCACAGAAAGGCAAAGGGACCCACCCUGCGAGGCAGCCCCGGGAACAGGGAGCAAGGAUUAAGCAGAACUAAAAAGCUUGAUUAACUAAGUACCGAAUGAUUACAUUAACUAAUGAAAAUGUAAUUGUUCAAACGGCGCCAAGCGCCACACUUGCAGGGUGAAAACGAAAGAAGGUAAACAAGAAAACGGCAAAGGCCGGCAGGAGGCUGCGGCAACUAGUUGCCGGCGUCUUCUGCCGGGGGCUCCGGGGACGGCUCGGGGUCCGGCUUCCGCUGCAUCCGCUCGACCACCUCGUCGAUGAACCCACACACGGCCUGAGUGUGGGUGGGCUUGUCCUUGCUGUCCGACUAGGCGUCCAGCAGCGUCUCGAAGGGAAACUCCGGGUCCCGGAGGUGUAUCCUCUGAAGGAUCGUCCCAGCAACUUCCCGGGCACAGUUGGCAACCUCGUUGGCGCCAAACUGGGCGAUCCCGACGUCGAGUGCCCCGAACUUCCCCACCAGAUCGGAGAAGAAUGGGAUCAGCGUCGAGACAUCCGUGCCGUCGACCUCCGCGGCCUGCAGCUCAAACCGGGGCAGCAGGCCCCGCAGUGCCUGGGCGAUCUUGAGCAGCUUCUCAGUCUCCAGAUGCCGCUCCCCGAUCAGCGUGCCGUGGUGGAGCCGGGCGUCGUGCGCGGCCUUCUUGGCCUUGCGGAGGUGGCUCUCCAGCGUCGCGAGCUCCGCGGCCUUGGCUACGUUGUCCUUGCCGGCCUUGGCGAGCUCCUCCUGGACAGUAGCCAGCUCGGGCUCGAGCCGGGGCGCUCUGUCCUUGGCGGCGCUGAGCUGGAUCUCGUGCCGGGCCGCCGCGCCGGCCGCGCCCAGCGCGCCUUUGGUCGCCUUGACCUGUACCUCCAGCUUGACGCGCAGGCCCUGGUUCUCACCGAGGUAGUUGGCGAUCAGAUCGCUCUUCUCGCCGAUCCGAGCCUCGGCUGCAACGAGCACCUCGGCGUGCUCCUUCUUGGUUGCCGGUUGAGCCGCCACGAGCGAGUCCACGGCCCCCUGGAGCUCGGUGCGCUGGGCCUCCAGCCGCCGGUAAAGCUCCUCCUCGGGGAUGACCGGUGUGUCGGCAUUCUCCAGGGCUUCCAGGGCAAGGCGCGCCUCCUCCCUGGGAAGGCGCGUCUCCUUCCGCAGCCGGGAGAGUUCCUGCCGCUCCUUCUCCACGGCUUGCCGCAGCUCGCCAAGCUGGCUCUUGGCGAUGGCGUGAUGCUCCCUCACCUCGUUGAAGGAGGUGACGAAGGCCAGUUGCUGGUCCUUGACGGCGUCGAGGAACCGGUGCCCUCGGUCGAAGACACUCGGAUCCCAGGUGAUGGGAUUCCAAGCCACCGUGGCAAGGGUGCCGAGGUCGGUGUUGAAGGAGGCAGCCGAUGACGAUGAAGCCCCAGCCACCACCUUAGAGCUGGGCGAGGGGUCGCCCGCCUGUGCCGGAGCGUCCUGUCGCUCCUCCCCGGCAACCUCCCUCUCACCCGCGCCCGGGGACUGCAGGGCUGGUGAGGCUGCCGCGCCCCCGGCAGGGACCGUCCCCUACUAGGCGGCAGAAGAAUCCACGCCAGCAGCGUCCGCGGCUGCAGGCGCGUCGCCGGGCGCCAUCCCGGGGGCGGCGGUGUUCACCGCGGCCGCCGUGGCCGGCGCAAUCGGGCUUGUUGCGGUGGCCACUUCCGGCUCCUCCGCCACCCCCGUGACCUCGACGUCGGAGUCGAGGUCAACCACAGCAGCACCCGCUCCCGGUGCAGGUACACUUGGGCCUGCAGCGGCGAGAAGUGUGAGAAGCGGGAAGCUAAAAAGUUGCCCAGAGGCGGAUAAGGGGGCUUAGGAUGGUUACCUUGUAGGGCCGUUGGGCUUGCGGGGGGAGCCUCCCCUCAUCCUCCGUCCCGGCAGGGGUCUCUAGGAGGCUUGCUGCGGGUGGAGUGUCGCCUACGGCGAGAGAAGGUUCAGUUACGUGGUUAGCUGAGAAUCGAAAGUAAAUGGAAAGGGGGCAAGAAGGAACUGCAGCUGUUGCCGGUGCCACCUCCGUUGGGGUUGGGUCACCGACAGGUGCGAUGGUGGCGCUAAUGGCCCCAGUGCCGGCCGGGUCGGCAGCGCUGCCGGCAUCCGCGCGUGCCUUCUUGCUAGGCGCAGCAGGCGGGGAGUCAUCCCUCCCCCUCUUGCUGGCGCUCGCCGACGAAUCGGCCCUUGAUGGAUUGCGCCGAAGCGUGUCAUCGCACGGGUCUCCGACACCAGGGGCGUGCUGGCACACCCCCUUUUAGGUUCGGCAGGGGCGUUGAGGAUCGCUCCGGUGAUCGCCGGUGUGGCCGAUGGCGUACGUAGCCUGAAAAGAGGCACACCUUAGGUACAUGCAAGUAGAGAACACAUGCACGAGCAUUUUUACCCAGGUUCGGGCCACCCGGAGGUGUAAAACCCUACGUCCUGCUUGUCUGAGCUUGUAUUAACCAAUGAACAAGAGUUUACAGGUUGCCGGGGGGAGUCCCAGGAUGCUCUCCUUUUUGGCCAAGUGCUCCUUGCUACUCUCCGCUAAUGCUAGAGGCUAACUGUGAGCCGUCGAACCUAGAACCAACUAAAAUCAGAACCGAACCCUUUGACUGUUGGCAGGGGUCCUCCUUUUAUAGCCAAGGGGAUGCCACAGGUGCCACGGUGCAUGGAUUACAAGUGGCGAGCAGGGAGACAAGGCAACUCCCCCUCGGUGCGCCGGUGGCAUGCAUGGGUGCCAACUCCUCAGCUAAGGGUCUAAGGCCUAAGAAUUAGCCCUGGACAACCACUGUUUACCUGACUAGAUGGGUAACUCCUCGCCCUGGCGGGACUGCGCACGGGAUGCCUGACGCGCGCCCACGUGGCGCUGUUACUCUGCCUGCUCGGCCCCGCUCUCACGAUGGUGGCUUCCCAGGAGGUGGCCAGGCGGGAAUAUUCCCCGAAGCCUCGCUAGCCCUUCCGGGCUGGGGGCUUGCUAGGCAGCACGUUAAGUGCUUCUCGGGAUGAUGCCUUCCCGGGAACUCGGCGAUGCGACCCACGCGUCGCGCAACGGUGGUACCCCGGGAGCCACUGGUGCGAUAGAGCGCGAAGCCCCGGAAGACCCCCCGAGCAGGCGGAACCAUGGUUGCCCGUGGUGUUGCCGCGUCCCGGGGCACUGCGGGCACCGACGACGAGGCCGCCGCAACGGGCCUUGGCAGCCACUACUGAGGUAGCCGCCACCGGGUCGCUGGCGGUCACUGCCGGGGGGGUCUCCGCCGUGGCUCCGAUGACCGCCACGGGUGCGGUCGCUGCCGAAGUGCCGGCGGACGCCUCUAGGGUGGCUGCCGCCGCUGGAGCCAAUCGUCAGCCAUAAUAGGUUCAGUGGAGCUGAAAAACGUGGGCGGGCGCAAACGCAGAAAUCUGGUCAGCAUAUCCACUUGGGGUGGGUGGUGCUGCUGGUUGUUGUGGUUCUGCUGAUUGUUGUUGUUGUUGUUGGCCAACUGUUGGGUGAUCAUCUGGAAGAAUUGGGUCUGGGCGGCUAAUAACUGCUGUAUGGUGGCAGCAUUCCCUUCCGCGUUGGCAUUGUUAGCCUCGGCGUUGUUGGCGGGGUUCCGGCGUCUCGGAGGCAUCUGUUUAGGGUAGCAUAGAUGAGGAAACAGAUAGAAUAGAGCUAAGGAUAACUAAACCCCCAAACAAGAUAUUACUCAAGCAUAUAUCAAUCAUACACUCAUCAAUCAAAAGGUUUUGAAAAAUCAUAGCAAAACACACUUGUUUAUGGCGGGACAUUGCCCAUAAAGAAAAGAGUACGAGGAGAAAACAAUCGACCUACAUUGCCAUACACAUAGAUUGUAUGGUCAAUGACUAACUCGCAAUGCUGAUAACGAUAAAACUAAUAUAAGCUGGUAGGCAUCAAUAGAUCUAAGGGAGUGUGGCUGUCGGUGUGGUCCCGUUCGCCUUCAUCUUGGAGCGGGUGUUGGUUGCAAGGGUGUCCAUCUCGUGGACCUCCUGGGGCUCCUCCUCCUCAGUCGGUUCCUCCUCCUGAGGCUCCAUCUCCUGAUCCUGUGGCGGAGGUGGGAACUGGACGGGCGCCGGUGCUGCAGCUGGUACUACUGCGGCUGCGGCUGCGAUGAACGCCUGGAACUGCUCGCAGUAGUAGCGAGCCUGGUCCCUCUCAUACUGCAGCUGCUCGAUGGCGUCUCCCAUGUUGAGGACAGUGUUCUCCAACACGGCCUUGUCCUCCAGCCACUGGGUCUUCUCUCCCAGUAGAUUACCAACCUGCUCCUCGGCUAGGUUGGCCCUGGUCACCUCGUGCUCGAGGCAAGACUCCAAGUCCACGGUGUUUAUCUCCAUGUUCUCGAAGUGGGUCGUCACUGGGGUUGCAUCCUCGUCGUUGGUCGUAGCCACUGCCGAGCAUGCAUGGUUCCGCCUUCCAAAGAGGAGGAAGGGGGAGUCCUCGGGGAACUCAUGCCGAUAGUCCCGGCACACCUGUGCGAAGGCGCACUGCAUGGCGAACUGAAGGCCCUGCUCGAAAGUGGGGUAGCGGCUGAUGAAGGUGAUAUCCGGCGUAGCUGGCGCGAUCUCACGCCCGCGGAUCUUUCGCCUCGAUCUCCCACCGUGGCUGCCAUCCCUCGGGUGCGGCGGUCUCGACUCGGCCUCUGAACCUGGAUGGUGGCAGGUCGAGGAACGCACACAGUGCCGCCAAAGGGGCACUGAACAGCUGGUCGUCGUCCGUGGAGGGGUAGUAAACUCUAGUGAACGGCGGGACGUUGCCAAAAGGUGUUGGGCUUCCCAUCUAUAGAAAAUAAAGAAGGAGAUAAGGAAGUAUCAGUGACAUGAUUAAAUGGUCGAAUGUAAGUAAAAAUAAAAUACAAGUGGUAGAGUGGGAAUCAAGUGAUAAACAUUAAUAUCAUGGGUGGGAAUGUAAAUAUAAAAUUGGAUGCAUACUAACAUGUGAACAACAUGGCAACAUGAUUAUAGUGGUGUAUGGUGAAAAAAAAUCAAAUUUGCAUCUGUGGUAUAAUAUAAUAAACAUGCAUAUGUGGUAAUAAGCAUAGUAUUCGAUGUAUAUGUGGGAUAAAACAGUAAACAUGUCAUGCAUAUGCAAGAUAUAAAUGCAAAGAUUUAAAUGAAUAGGGAUAAGGAAUAAAAUACAUGUAUAUAUAUAUAUAUAGAUCAGAUAGGGAUAAGAAAUAAUCCUAAGGUCGGGUCUUUGGUCUUGUCUUAUCCUAAUCCAACUUAGGGUCACGUUCCUACAGGCAACACAUUGCUCUGAUACCAUCUGAAGCGAUCCCCCUUCACCAAGGAUUCGAUCUCUGUGCUUACUUGUGCUAGUCCCUGGAUCGACUCACUAGCACACACAGUUCAAGAUGUAAUACCAAGAUACAAAGGUCAAAAGUACUUUAUUACAUCGUAUCAUCCAGAACUUAAAUUGUACUUACAAAUUUGCAUGACCUCCUAGGCCAGCAUAAACAAAUAGUGUUCAAAACCAUGAUAGCAAUGUAUCAUGAAACUGCAGCGGAAAGGCAGAGUAAAAGGGCCUCAUCUACUCCCAGAGGAGAGAGCAUGUUGGAAUGUAAACACAUGACCCAAAGAAAUAUCGACGAACCUCACUCUUCGUCAGUUUCACCUGCAUUAUUAAUUGCAGCCACUACGUGGUCAAUACAUUUGAAUGUAUUGGCAAGCUCACUAGAGUUAUAAAGGACCUACCAAAUACAUGCAUAGUUUGGCUAAGUGGGGUUUGGCUAGUUUGCAUAAAAGCAUCAUUAUUCAAUUCCUAUCAUUUUUAGACAAAUAGUUUUGAAUUAUAUUGGACACAGGGUAGAAACACCCAUGCUCCUAUUAACCUAGGCACAUUGAGUAGAAACAUCAAUGCUCCUACGCAGUUCAAACCAUUCAUUUUAUUAGGAAAUUGGAAUGAAUGAGACCUUCCUUACAGCCCCAAUAUCUAGUUGCUCAUAAUUGUCCGUAACCGGGGACACGGCUAAGUACUUAGUUGACACUCUCGAGAGGUGGUACACUUUACCCACAAGAAAUCGACGUGUUAAUCCCUUGCCGUCCUCCAGAUGGAGUAGCAACGGCAUCGAUUACAGGAAUUUUCAGAACAUAUUCCCCCAAACCACCUGAGGGACGCGUUCCAACCUACACUGCUACAUACCGAUGUCACCUCGGAUCCAGGUUCAUAUUUCUUACAUCCAUCCUGGCAGAGCCCAUAAUACCAUGUGGUUGUACUGGAAGCUACUAAACAGGAAACUAGUCCAGUCUCUGGUUAUCCCGGGUGGCAUCCCACAUUGUGACGCAGGCGCUCCCCGAAUCGCACGGGGAGACGACCAUGGACGCUCCCGAAUCACACGGAGAGACGACUCAGCGGGCCCCAUAGAAAUGGACCUAACGUCACUACAUCCGAAUACUCAAAGCAGUCCACCCAGGACGGUUCAUUGAAUUACUUGUUUUGCCAUACACUAGGAAAAUUAUAUUGUAAUUCAAUAGUAUCACAUUGUAAUAAUACCACCUUCGUAUAUUAUCAUAGCAUAGCAUUUUACUACUACGAUGGCAAUUGGUGGUAAGGUCAUGACAAAGGGUAUCCUGUACUACUAGGGCAAAUCAUAUCUAGCAUAGGUACAGUAAUAAUCCUAACAAUGCAACUAAUAAAAUGUAGUGCAUAAUAAAAUAAUGGGUAAAUGAUCAAAGUGAACUUGCCUUGAUAGUAGUUGGUAUUCAAACACUCUUCGCAAUCACACAGUUCGCUCUCCGAGAAAACUAUACAAUCAAGCAAACAUACACAUACAUAAACACACCAUACAAGAAAAGAAAAUGUAUGCCAUGAUGCAAUGCAAAACAUGUGACAUGAGUUUGGUUUAUUUUAUUUGGGUGAUCUACUGAUCCAAGGCCUUGAGAAUUAAGCACAUGCAAUUAGGGUUUUUAAGCAAAAGCAAAGGCUAGGGUUUAAACCCUAAAAUGAGGUUUUAUUGGCAUCAGCCAAAUAUAUUAGUUCAAAAUAUUUAUUUCUCUGUCCCAUUGGACAGAGGACAAUAAAAAAAAAAUUGGGCACUGGUUCCAUUCAAAAAGGACUUCUAAAUAAAUAGUUAUGAUUUAAAUGGCAUAAACCCUAAUCUGUGAUUUGAAUGUGAUUCAAAAAUUCAAAUUUGAAUUUGGACAGUGCCAAAAGAUUCUACAUUUCCUAAGGAGUCCAAAAAGGUGUGGAUCAUUAAAUUUGGCCAAACAGAUUAAAAGUUAUGAUCAUUUGAAAUUGCAGGGGCUUUUCUGCAAAAGUGCCUUUUAUUAAUUCCGGGGGAUUAAAAUUACAUUUUCACUUUAUAAUUCCGGGUGCCACGUGUCAGCAUCUAAUUGGUGCGUACCGGUUCGGUUAAAAAUUAAAACGGGAUCUAAUCUUAGCCCUCGGAUCCGGAUCGGACGGACGAGGGGAGUUCUAGGGUUUACCGGCGGCGGCGGCAGUCACCGGAGACGGAGGGGAUGGCGGCGCUAAGCGGUCGUCGCGGGGGUGGCCGGGGACGGCGCGGCGCGGCACGGCGGAGACGGGGGCGCGGUCGGCGUGGGCUCGGGCGGCGCGGGUCGUCGCCUAGGACGAAGACGGGCGGGCGGCGCGGGCGGCGGACGGCGGCGCGGCCUCGGGUGUCGUCGGUGGGGAGCUGCAGCGCACGAAAAGGAAAAAGAAGCGCGUCAUCUUGACCGCGAGGGAGAGAGCGGGACGGCUUCGAGUUUUACUCACGGAGCUCGUCGGCGUGACACGAAGACGGCGACGACGCGGGUGCGGCUCCGGCGAGGGAUUCCGGCGGCCUGGCGGCAUAAUUGAGGGGGAGGGCAGAGGGGAAAAGAGGAGGGGGCCGCGGGGUUUAAAAGGACGCGCUCGGCCAUUCAAAAGGAAGGGCGGAGGAGGAGAUCGCGGGGGCGAGUGCGCGGGGACGGCGGCCGGGAGUCGCGGCGGCGGCGCGGGGCUUUCCUUCCGGGGAAGAAGCCCCUGACAGGUGGGCCCCACCUGUCAACGGGUGCGGGGGUGCGCGAGGGGCAGCCGGGCGGGCGAGGCGGCGCGCGCGCGGUCGGGCGCGGUCGGUCUGGGCCGGUUCGGCCCAAAAUGGGCGGGCCGGUCCGUUUGCUCUCUUUUUUUUUUCUUUUACCCUUUUCUUUUUCUGUUUUUCUUAUUCCUUUGAUAUCUUUUGGUUUUGAACUCCAACUUGGUCCAAAUAAAUCCCAGAAAAUUUGUAAAAUCAUGUUCCACCAUGAUACAACUUUUGGGAGUAUUUUCCCCUGAAAAUAAAAUAUAUAAAAAUACAUUUGCCCUAUAAAUAACUUUAGGGCUAUAUAUCCAUUUAAAUAAAAUACUUUUUCAACUCCAAAUAAUUAUCCAAAAAUUAUGGGAUGGCUUAUAUGUGCAUUAAACCCCUUUUAUACAUAAAACCUAUUGGUUUGAAAAUCCAAAGCUCAUACGGGUGUAAACCCUAGGGUUUAAAAUGAAAUAAAGAAUCUUUCCAAAGCCUUUUGAGAUUCAAAUUUUGAAUUCAAUUAUGCAAUUGUGGCAUGAUGCUCAUGGAUGCAAUGCACAUGUAAAAGUUUGAAAUUUUGGGAUGUUACACCCCGUGUACAUCCACGCAGGCCGGGAGUGCAGUUGGAGCGGCGCGACGCGCCGGGUGAUGUACGUGUGCGCCACGUCAACAUUGGUGAGCCCUGCCAGCCGCAAAGCCUUGAUCUUUUCCACGAUGGGGAGGAGAUCGGCGUCACGGCGGUACCGGACCCGCCAGCCGCUGUGGGGUUGCGGCAGCUCGGUGGGCGAGAGGAUGAACUCCUCGGGGUCUUCUACUCGGACCCAGCACCAGUCGCCCCGCCACUCCUUCUCGAUGUUUUUCUUCGACCGGACGAUGAACUCGGACUUCAUCCGGUCGCGGGCGCGAAACACCACCCCCGACGACAACGCGAUCGAUCUAGGGGUAGAAGUAAUGCCGAAACAGUGCCACCGACGGCAUCACCCUGACGAAUGCUUCGCAGAGGAAUUGGAAGAUGACGAGGAGGUAGAGAGACGUGAGGUGGAGCUGCGCCACUCGCAGCUGGUACGACUCCAUCAGCGCGUGGAGAAACAGGGAGAACGGCGACACCAGCCCGGUGAGGAUGAAGCACCUGAACACCCGAAAGUCAUUUUCCUGGUGGUCGGCGCCUGCGAGGAGGAUCUGGGUCUCCCCGUGCUCGUUGAACCCAGAGGCAACUGCGUGCCGGAUCUUGGCCAGCGCCUCGCUGUUGUAGCCGCGUAGGUAGAAGGCGAGCGAGGCCCGCAUCGCCCACUUCUUCUGAUCGUUGUCGGCGGCGGCCUCGCUUUUGCUGGACGCCGCUUUCUUUGGGGCCUUCCCCUCCUUUCCCUUCCUGGUGGUGGGGGGCGCCAUGGGGAGCAAGAUGCGAAGAAGAUGGAAGACGAAGGUUGGGGAGAAAAGUGUUUUCCCCCCGCUACAAUAGUAAAAGCUUUAUAACACUCUAUCGUUUGGUAACAGCCGAUUCCGCACCCUACGGGUGCGUUGGGAUAAUUGCUAAUCAAAGGGAUAAUGCGGAGAGUGGCCUUAACUUCCCUAUUUAAAGGGGGGGUUAUGGCGGAAACCACGCACCCACUACUCCGUCCGUAAUGGCGGGGUGUGUGGGACGGCGAAGAGGCACGGGCCCAAGGCAAGUUGGGACCCACGCCGCCCGGCAACCGACCCAAGAAAAGUUCGUCCAGGAACAGGUGUUGCCGGCCCAUGCCCAGGGGCUACUGUCGCACCAGUGACACCCGGGGUACCACCGUUGCACGACGCGUGGGUCGCAUCGCUGGGUUCCCGAGAGGAUCUCACCCCGGGCGGCAGCGUAUACGAUGCCCGGCAAGCCACCAGCCCAGAAGGGCUAGCGGGGCUUCGGGGAAUGGUCCCGCCUGGGCACCUCCCGGGAAGUCACUUGCCGGGAGGAGGGGUUCCCGGGCGCAGGUUCCCGCCGUGAGGGCGGGGCUGAGCGAGCAGAGCAGCCAUGCCACGUGGGCGCGCGCCAGGCGCCUAGUGUGCAGUUUCGCCAGGGCAAGGAGUAAGGCGCACGGCACAUUUAAUGAGCCGACAGGAGGGGCGUUACCCGUCUAGUCAGGCAAACAGUGGCUGUCCAGUCCUAUGUUUUAGGCCCUAGACCCCUAGCCGCGGGGUUGGUGCCCGUGCAUGCAUGCCAGCGCACCGAGGAGGAGCUGCCUAAGCUCCUUGCUCGCCCCUUGUAAACCAUGCACCGUGGCACCUGUGGUAUCCCCUUGGCUAUAAAAGGAGGACCCCCGCCAACGGUCAAAGGGUUCGUUUUUUCGUUGGUUCAUAGUUGUUCAGUUCGUUGGUUGCACGGGCAGUAGUCUAAAGUAGAAGGGAACACUUAGCCAAAAAGAGACCACCCGGGGGCUACCCCCGGCAACCUGUAAAUAGCCGAUUCCAUAGCAAUACAAGCUCAGACAAACAGGACGUAGGGUUUUACAUUGCAAGGUGGCUGAACCUGGGUAAAAAGUGUGUGCAUGUGCCCUUGGUAGCCUUCCUGGUGCAUUCCUUCGCCUCGCAUUGGUCCCGCCGGCGAUCCCCGUAGCCCACUGCCGAACCUGAAAAGGGGGUGCCCGCGCAUCCCUGGUGUUGGAGCCCCGUGUGACGACACCGCUACCGUUUGACCCCAUGUUGGCACUGUGGGUCCGUCCCGGGUCCCUGGUCCGGUUAAAGUGUGCGGCGCGCGAGUCCCCAGCAACACAAGGCAUAACACACAAAGUUUAAGGGAUCCACCCCGCGAGACAACCCCGGGAACAAGAAAGGAGAACUAAGCGGAACCAGAGAACGAAAUUAAUAAAAGUAGUAAACAAUUACAUGAACCAAUAAGACAUUAAUUGUUUAAGCGGCGCACGGCGCCACACUUGCAGGAAUCAAAAGAAGAAAAAAAUACUAAGGAAUAACGAGGACUAGCAGGGGGCGGCGGCGACUGGUUGCUGGCGCCUCUCGCUGGGGGCUGCGGCGACUGGUGGCCGGUGCCUCCCGCUUGGGGCUCCGGCCCUGGCUCGGGCUCCGGCUUCCACUGCAUCCGGUCGACCACUUCGUCGACGAACCUGCUCACCGCCUGGCAGUGGGUGGGACCGUCCUCGCUGUCUGACCAGGCGUCCAGUAGCGUCUCGAAGGGGAAGUCCGUCACCACGGCGUGCUUGGAUUCACGGAGGAGAUCCACCUGCCGGGCGAUCUGCAUGGCCUUGGCCGCGUUGUCCUCGGCCGUCUUGACACAAUCCUCCCGGACAGUGGCCGACUCGGACUCGAGUCGGGCGCUCUUCUCCUUGGCGGAGUUGAGCUCCUUCUCUUGCCACGCUGCCGCUGUCGGCGCGUCUGCCGCAGCCUUGGUCUGCUCCUCCAGCUUGGCGCGCAACCCUUGGAUCUGGGAGAGGUAGCUGCAGACCAGGUCGCUUUUCUCAUUGAGGCGAGCCUGGGCCACAGCGAGCACCUAUCGUGCUCCUUCUUGGCCUUCGCCUGCACUGCCGCUAGCGAGUCCAAGGCUUGCUGGUGCUCAGCGUGCUGGGCCUCCAGUCGCCGGUGGAGCUCCUCCUCGGGGACAACCGGCACUGCAGCCUCGUCCACGGCUUGCCACGCAAGGCGUGUCUCCUCCCGUAGCUGGGAGAGCUCUUGCCGCUCUCUCUCCACGGCCUGCCGCACCUCGCCAAGCUGGACCUUGGCGAUCUCGUGGUGCUCCUUCACUUGAUUGAAGGAGGUGACGACCGCCAUCUGCUGUUCCUUGAUGGCGGCAAGGAACUGGUGCCCCCGGUCAUAGAUGCUCGGGUCCCAGGUGAUGGGGUCCUAAGCCACCCCGGCGAGGGUGCCGAGGUCCGGGCUGAAGGUGGCGGCCGUCAACGACGAAGCUCCCGCCGCCACUGUUUGGCCGGGUGGAGCGUCGCCCGCUUGCGGCGGAGCCUCCUGCUGCUCCUCCGCGGCAACCUCCCCCGCGCCCGCACCUGUGGGUUGUGGGACUUAUGGGGUUGCCGCGCCCCCGGCGGGGGCUGCCUCCUGCUGGGGGGCUGCAGGGUCCGCGCCGGCUGCCUCUGUGGCCGGUGGUUCGCCGUUGAGCUCUGCCCUGGUAGCAACGGCGGUCGCCGCCGCCGUUGUAUCCGGCGCUGUGGAGCUUGGCGCGGGGGCUGCCUCCGGCUCCACCCUCCUCUCCGUGUCCUCGGCGUCGGAGCCAAGGUUGGCCAUCACAGCGCCCCCCCCCCCCCGGCGUGGGCGCGAUCGGGUCUGCAGCAAAAGGAAGAGUUAGAAUCCGAGUGCGAGGUAAGUGACCCGGAGGCGGACACAGGGGACUCCGAGUGGGUACCUUGCGGUGCUGCGGGGCUUGCGGGGGGGAGCUUCCUCCUCCUCCUCCGUCCCAGCCGCCGUUGCCGGGGCGCCUGCCGCGGGCUGGGCGUCGCCUGCAAGUAAGGAGUGCAACGCGGCUGCGGGUUAGCCGGCGAGGGAAGCGUAAACAAGGAAACAGGGGAAAGAGCAGUACCUGUUGUCGGCGCCCCCGUGUCGGCCGGAUCAGCGCUGCUGCCGGCCUGGGCACGCGCCUUCUUGCUCGGCGCGGCGGGCAGCGAGUCAGCCCUCCCCCUCUUGCCGGCCCCCGUCGGUGAGCCGUCCUUCGGGGAUUGUCGCAUCCUGCAGGGUAUCAAGCAGAGGCGCGAGCAGCGCCACGAGGAGCGCCGAGCAGCCGGCGCCUGCUUCAACUGCGGGGAUAUCAGGCAUCUCUCCCGCAACUGCCCGAAUGACCCCAAAGCUGGAGCGAAGCCUGCCGGCGGAGAUGCCGGCAGAGAGGAAGCCCAGGGGGGUCGAGCCCAAGCCCGCGCCGACAAGGAGCGGCCUCCUCGGGGACGAGACAAGGCUCGUGCUGAGGAGCAGCGCGAGUCCGAUUAUAGCGAGGUGAUCGAGCAUCGACUCGUCGGAUCUUCCCCAAGUCCCUAGGGAGGUGAUCGAGCAUCGACUUGCGGUGCGUCCAGACGCCCGCCUCGUCAAGCAGAAGGUCCGCCGGCAAGCACAGGAGCGCAAAGACUUCAUCAAGCAAGAAGUGGACAAGCUAAAGGGUGCGGGGGCUAUCAGGGAAGUACUGUACCCCACUUGGUUAGCAAACCCAGUUGUCGUACCCAAGGGGGAAAACAAACUGUGCAUGUGUGUAGAUUUUACUAACCUAAACCGUGCAUGUCCCAAAGACCCCUUCAUGUACCCCGCAUUGAUCAAAUAGUAGAUUCCACUACCGGUUGCAAUUUGUUGUGCUUCUUGGAUGCUUUUAUCGGCUACCAUCAAAUUAAGAUGGCAGUCGAGGACGAGGAGAAAAUGGGUUCAUCACCCCGGUUGGCUGCUACUGUUACACGUGCAUGCCUUUCGGGUUGAAGAAUGCAGGCUCAACAUUCCAGCGUGCCUUACGCGAGUGUUUGGGACCCCAGCUAGGCCAAAACGUUGAGGCCUACAUGGACGAUAUCGUCAUCAACUCAAAGUGCGGGGACUCGCUUAUUGAUGACUUGUGGGAGACGUUCAAUAACCUCUGCAGGAUCAAGCUCAAGUUGAACCCUGAGAAAUGCACUUUUGGUGUAGA
rnacentral:lncRNA from 1 species